rnacentral:lncRNA from 1 species
UCCUCCGCAACUAUCACGGCUCGGUAAGCUCCAACUACUAGACCUUGCUCACAACAACCUCACGGGGCGAAUACCGUCGAGCUUCGGUAAUCUCACUGCGAUGGCGAAGAGACAACAAGUAGCUGUACUCGACGGCUCGCAGUUUACUUACAUGGAGAGCAUAAUGAUAGUGUGGAAAGGCGCGGAGCUAUCGUUUCAACAGAAUCUCGCGCUCGUAACGGGCAUCGAUCUCUCGAGCAACUCUCUCUCUCAGGCGAUACCGACAGAGCUGACGAACCUUUCGGGGCUGUUGUUUCUGAACUUGUCGGGAAACCAUCUGACGGGCGGUAUUCCGAGGAAGGUUGGGAACUUGGAAUGGUUAGAAUCUCUCGACCUGUCGAACAACCGACUCUCCGGUGCAAUUCCUUCGAGUAUAACCAACUUAUCCUUCCUCAGUUUUUUGAACGUAUCAAAUAAUAUGUUAUCAGGGCGAAUACCGGUCGGAAACCAGAUGCAAACAUUGGAUAACAUCAUGAGUUAUGCCGGAAACGAAGGACUAUGCGGCGCGCCGUUGAAGCAGCAAUGCUCAAAUGAUGAAGAUCAGGCGCCAUCAAGUGAAGGUGAUAGUGUGCAUAGGUUAAGUAGAGAUGGAGAUCAUGAAGAUGAAGAACAUGAAAACAUAUGGUUCUAUGGAUUUGUGGGUUUGGGUUAUAGUUUUGGGUUUUGGUUAUUUUUUGGGAUCUUAGUGUUUAAGAGGUCGUGGAGGUUGGCUUAUGUCCAUUUCAUUGAUCAUAGUAUAUGCAGGAUCAGGUCAUAGAAAAGAUAAAAAGAGUGUUAAAUAUGUGAACAUGCGAAAAUAUGCAUGUAUGAAGUUUUUUUUUUUUUUUUUUUUUUUUUUUUUNGUUAAAUAUAGUAGGGGAAAAGGGGAGAGAGAGAGAGAGAGAGAGAGAGAAAUGGUUUGUAAUUAGUUUGAUGUGAAAUCAAGAUAAUUUGAUGUGAAUAUUAGGAAUUUUUUUUGUGUAAAUUCAUUUCUAUGAGAAAAUUUUCCCUAUAUUCUCUUUAUUGUUCCCUUACUAGUUAACUCACUAGAUGAGUUUAAUGGUAUUCAAAAUGCUUAUAUAUAAAAUAUUAUUAAUUUUAAGUACCAAUUUUUCAUAAAUCAAAUAAUGAUCAUGUUUGAUUAAAAUUAUUCGGCGGAAUAGUUCUAAUUGUUGCAGAAAAAAAAAUUGAACUUUAUUGAUUGCGAAGAAACUUAUAAUAAAUGAAAACACAAGCGAUUUGGCUUGAAUUUUUUUGUUCCCUGCUGAGACUUCACCUCUUAAAACGCACUAUGUUCGACAGCUAAGAGCAGGCCAAACUUUAAAGCUUCAGGAAUAAAUCAAUUUGGUAAGACCGAUCGUCCCUAGAGCAAGUGACAAAGCGUUUGGUGGUUGGUAGCCGAGACCCAAAUUCAAAUCCUAGUUGAUUCACAUUUUCAGCUAAAUUUAUUUUUAAAUAAAAUAAACGAAGCGGGUAGCGUGCUACCUAUCUCUCAAAACAAAAAAAAAAAUCAAUUUGGUGAGAUGGAUACAUUGUGGAAAACUGUGAUUUUAACCAAGUCUAAGUUACGAUCGAAAAUCUUUGAAAAACUUGAGGAAGAAAGGGUUAUGUUUAUAUCACUAUUUAACUUGCUCUUGAACUAAAAUUAUCAGAAACUACUGAAUGCUAAAGCUACCUACUCUCUUUCUAGACCUUUCGCUACUUUUUCUGGUGAAUAAAAAGGGUCUCUCUACCUUUCUCUAUGAAAGUAUUUAUAGCCCUUGAAUCCAACUCCAAAUUCUAUAAUAUUUUGAAAUCUUUAUUUGCUACUAUCUCUUUUCUUAUAAUGAACUGCCGAGAUCGUUUGAUACAACAGUUUAGAUUUCUCCCAUUUGAUGCAAAACUACAAUAAAAACGGUAUAUUGUGACACUUUUAAAUGUGGUACAGAUCAAAAAAAUUAUCGCUAGCUAAAUUACCGACACUUUUAAAAAGUGUUGCUAUAUAUGGGAUCCUUAUAUGUGGAGCCGUUUUGAUUUUUGGCACCCACUCCUCCAGCGAUCUGUGGUGGAGAAAUAUAUAAUGAUCGUAGUCCUCUACGGUCCUUACGAGAUCCUCGCAGCCGAACUCCUGCCGCCGGAUCCCUAUCUCGUCGGCUACGGUGGCAUAGGAGGAGAAGGGGAGAGGUGAUCAAUUUUUUUUUUUUUCUUUUCUAUUUGUAAUCGGUCUGAGUGGGCUCGGUAGGGUUUAUUGAGUAGAGAAACUUUUUAUUUUUGAUUGGGUUAUGCUUUAUAUUUAGGUCUUAAUAAAUUUUUUAAAAAAUUUUUGAUAUAAAUAGAACACUUAUAUAAAAGUAUUCCAAAACUAUGUCUUUAUAAUCUAAUUCUGUUGUAGUCCUAAGUUUAUUUUUUAAAAAUAUCAACUGCUUAAAUCAUCUUGCCUCCUAAAAAUUCAACAGCUGAAUUUUGGUGUCACACAUAAUGCAAUCGCGUAUAUAGUUAACGAGUUAUCCCGAUAAAAAUAUAUAACUAUAUUUUAUAUAUUGUCCACAUAACAAAAGUUUAGAAAAUUUAUAUUAUUUAGCUUCCUCUGCUUUACUAGAUAGGAUCAAAUUAAAUUUAUACUUAAUUCAUCAUCUUAAAUAGAAUUAGAAAGUAGAAACAUGCAUCUCUUCAAAUUAAAUUACAAACCUAUAUUGUAUCAUUUUUAAUCUCGGGCUUAAAAAUAAGGUGUGCAGUGUUAUAUGGUGGCUUUUAACACGUGUGACAUCUCCAAUAAUUUUUUUCUUUUUUUUUUUUUUCUCUAGAGAAUGUAACAUAAAAUUUGUGUCGUGUCAUGCAUUUUAUAUAGGACACGUUUAAUUUGACUAUUUUACCUUUUAGAUUUUUUUUAUUUUACUAUUCAAUCUUUUAAUUUGUUUGAUUUGAAUUAGUCAACAGAAUUUUGACUUCAAAUUUAAGCUAAUUACUUAAUUUCAUAAAUUUAUAAUUAUCAGAAUUUUAUGAAUUAUACUAAUUAAACCUAUAAUGAUAAAUAACAAAUUCAAAAUUUUAAAUCAAAGUAUUGCUCAGCGGCACAUAUCAAAUAAAAUAAAAGAUUGGAUAGUAAAAUCAAAAUGUUGAAGUUGAGGGUACCAUUUUAAAAUAGCUGAAAGCGAGGGGUCUUUGUGCAUUUUUAUCCAAAUUUUAAACAGCUUUUUUCCUCCUUUCAUACCAUUUAUUUUUUCGGAUGCUAUGAUGUCUCAAUAAAAAUAUGCUAUAUUUUUUAAAGAUUUAAAUUUUAGAAUAUUGAUCAUCAACAUAGUGCGGUGCACGAAAGGUACUAGUGCACCGGGUGUAUGGGACUUCUCCGACACUGUGUGCUUAGUGCGCACACUGUGGCAUCAUAUCACACGAAUCUUGAUGCAGCAGAUCCGACGGUUGGAGAUGAACGAGGGCAUAAGGCGAUGAGAGGAGGCGGCGUAGUUCGGACACAAUAAAAGCCCUCCCUCUUUCCGGUGGCCAAAAUUUAUCUCCGAAAAUCCACAAAUUCGAUCCGAGCGAGGCGAAAUUGCGCCCAAAAAGGUACUUUUGAUCGCUUUUUUACCUUUUUAUUCGAAUUAUUUUGUGUUUUUGAUGCGAUUGUUCAUAGUUUGAUCAUCGAUUUGAUCCUUAUAUCCUAAUUUUCGUUGCGAAAUUAAUAAUUUUGGAAGGGAUGAUGAUUUUUCUUUGCAAUUUUGUGCGCAUUGUGUAGAAAUUUCUUUGUUGUCGAUUUUGAAUUGAUUCUGUUUAUGAUUUUUUUUGGACAAAAAGAGGUUUUUUAAAUUCAAAUAUGUAUCAAUCAAUCUCUGAUGUUUAUGGUUUUUUUUUUUUUUUUUUGUUUCUUUGAUCGAAGAGUGAAAAGUGGCGAUGCUCAUCGAUUAGGGUUUCAAUCAAAUUGAUUAGGGUUCCAAGCAAAUUUCCUUUUUUCUAUUUAUUUAAUUGAUUAGGUUAUUGCUUCCACUAAUUAAAGAUUGUUGUGAUCCUUAUCUCCCUUGAUAUGAACAGCAUUGGUUGAUACUGAAAGAAAUUGGAUUCCUUUUCGUAUAUUUCUCUAGGGUUAGGGUUUGGAUGGCAGGGUACUUUGUUUUUAGUUGUAUUUGCUUUUCUGAAUUAUGUGAUCUCUUCUUAAUUUUCUGCUAUUAAAUCCAUUCGCAGGAGAAAGAGAGGAACAGAUUCGUGUGGCUUGGAAUGUGAGGCUAGGGUUUUGAUCAGUUGGUAAAUUUAAGCACUUAGCAAUUCUAAAGAACUUGGUUGGCAUGAACCCUCAUCUUGUUCUUGAAGUUCCUGACACUCCCGAGAGAAUCGUGCGGUCGACCAAUUCAUCUUCACGACCUUCAGUGGAGAGAGAGGUUAUUGAGAUAAGAACCGACUCUUCAUCCUCCCAUCACAGGAGAUCAAUUGGCACUGCGCCACAUGAUACAGAACAGCUGUUUAGACAGGCGAGAUUAGCACGAUUGCUCUCCGAAGCCUUUGAACCGAAAACUUCUUCACAGAGCAAUAGUGAAGCACUCGAUGGGAGUUCUAAUGCGAGGGCGGAGACGAUUAAUUUAAGUCCGAAUAGCCCGUCUCCUGUUCCUCAUCACAUUGGGCAUGCAAGGGGCAGAAUCGGGAAAUACCCUUUGGGAGAAGGCGGCGAGGGUAGUCAGAAUGGUAAGCACACAAGUGUUGAAUUUCUUGGCGUCGGAUCAACGCUUCCUAGUAGACAUGUGGGGAGACCCCGAAGCCGGCCCGGGAUUAAUAUUGCUAAGGAAGAGAAGCUGGUUACAGAUAACAAAGAUCUUGCAGGAGUGAAUGAUAAAGGAAAAGGGGUUGUGCAGUUUGGUGAUUCACAACCUAUGUCGAAACAAGCACCACCGAGCCCUUUACAAUCUGAUGUUCCUCAAAGGCUCGUAAGUCGGAGAAGGCUGGUGCGUAAUGGUUGUAUCUCUCCUUGUAACACAGCAAAAGCUAACAGCAAGUCAGCUGCUGACGGAGUAAACAGAGAAAUCCACUCAUCACUAGCUCAAGCCAGGGAGCAGGACAAAGGUAAAGGAAUUGAUCCGAAUAUGGAGUCACAAUCCAAUUCGCAUUCGGUGGAGAGAUGUGGUAAUGCUAGGAAAGGAAAAGAAAUCGUGGAUGAUCAUGCAGUAGUUAAUGGGCAAGGUGAAGAAAGGUUUCUACCCGACAGGUCAAUCCUAACUCUGGCUUUUUUUUUUGUUUUUUUUUAAAUGCUUAACAGCGGUAUAUAUUUGUCACAAUUUUUGCCCCAUUUCAGCUAUCUUAAUGUUGCUGGUUAAUAUUGUUGCAGGGCAAAUCCAAGAAGAGAUGGAGAUCUGAAUGUUAUUGUAGAUCCCAGCAGCACUAGUGGCAGUUCUGAUGGUCAAGGCUGGAUAUCAACUCGUCAUCAUACAGAUAAACUCUUGCAUGAAUCAAAUCCAAUUAUAAUACAAGGCGAAGGCAGAAGUCAAGAUUCCUUGUCAGAGAAUAGAAGACAGAGGUCUAUUAGAAGAAAGAGGAAAUAUAGCUCUACUUCUUACCCCCCUGGCGAAAGCUCAAGCUCAAGUUCUUUUCUUGACUCGGAAAUCUCAUAUCUUGGGUCAUCUCACCAUCCCAAGAAUUUCAGAUCAAUCAGAACUGGCAACACUCGACGCACCCGUACUGUACUAGGGCCUGUAAUAGAAGUUGAUGAAACAUCUCCUAUAGUAGAAGUUGGUGAGGUGCACAAUCGAAGUGGUGGGCUCACUAAUAGCUCUGGAGAAAAGGCCAGGCAGAUCGAAUCAGAUGAGUUAUUAGCUCGCCAGCUUCAGGAACAGUUAUAUAAUGAAUUGCCUGGAGUUAUGCAUAGAGAGCAGGUUUAUUCUCUCCAUUUCUUUUUCUGUUUUUACCUUUUAACUACUUUUUUUUUUACUGAAUCAAAUACUUCUUAGGUUCAGUUUCUUAGUCAGGACUAUGAGGCUCUUUGAGCUUUUGUGCCUGUUAGACUUGAGAUUAUUUAGUUUUAUGAUAAUUGACUGAUCAAUAUUAAAAUUCCUUGCCCCUUUAUCACUGAACAGAUUAAUGCGAACAUAGCAUUAUCGGUGCAGCAGGAAGAGAAUGCUCGGCGUGCUGCUUCUUCUUCGUCUGUAAGGCGAGAUCGAAAUAAUGCUGUAAGUGGAGACUAGUUUGUGUUGAUUGUUGAACUGUUGAGGGGAGCUGGGCAUUUGUUCAGUUAAUUAUUGUGAAACUCUCGGCGUUUGCAUGAUAUGACUUAGCACUUACUGCAGUUGCCUUAGUAUCUUAGAUCGAUAUGACAUUACAGGCUCUUUCACUUGGGAAAUGAGUGACCCAUAAUUAUUAUUGCCUUUCUUCUUUUUUCUUUUCUUUCUUUGUAGCAUUUACAGGGAAAUAAUCAAAUUUUGUAGGUCAGGAUUUUUUAUUUCUUAUACCAACUCGUUUGUCGCUACUUCUUGCCAGCUAUGUUUUGAUUUGAGUCGUAAGAUCAGAACUUUGGAUAAAAAGUGGAACCGAUUAGUUCUCAUUGUUAAGGACGAGAUCCUCGUAUACAUAUAUCAAGGCCAUUUACUUUGCAAUCAUCCUCAAAAGUUCUGAUUAUUUGGGAAAGUCUCUACUGGUUUGGUUGAUGUUUUUUGUCCUCAAUUAGACGCAGUGUCCUGCUAUCCUUAAUUUGUUCUUGCGAUUUACUUGCUAGAGUAUGGAGCCACAACUUGGGUUGGGCCACAACUUGGGUUGGGUUCAACCAUUAGCCAGUCAAUCUAACCUGGUUCUAAUUAGGGUAGAGAAUACAAGUUUUACCGGUUCUUCUUCUUUCUCCCAUUGUCUCUUUCUUUUACGUGAGGGAGAGACAUGUUUGCACCAAUAGCUUUUUUGAGCACUGGAAGUUUUACCAUUUAUAAAACCUGUCCUUUUAAAUAGAUCCUUGUGGUUCAUUAGGAAUAUAACUUAAUUACCUUGCAUGCAAAAUGACAUCCUUUUUAUGGUCUAACAACACUUGUGGUGGAUAUAGGGAGAAGGAGGGAAUGAAGCCCUCCUUGUUAGGGAAAAUGUUGCCGUGUGCGCCCAUUUAUAUGGGGUAAAAUCACGGGCAGAAAUGCUCGUUCUUGUGCCCUUUCUAAAAUAGCUUUAGUAAACAUUGAGAAAAGAAGGCACACCCUGCUUCUUCGUAUGAAACUUGGAGCGAGCAAACUUAGUGUGCCUUUGUAAAUAUUAUAGCUAUUAUAUAGAAUGUUCUUGAAACCCAAAAAUCUAGAUUUCUGUGAAAAUUCCUGUUAUUUUUAGUUCGGCAUCCUAUAAUAGAUUUCUUUAUUCAUUCUAAUAUUAUUUUUUUCUGGUAGAUGCACGGUUUCCAAACUUUGGUGUGGACUUGGUAUAAAAUUCACAGAUGUGGGUGUAUAGUUAUAUCCAUACGUUAAGUAGAAAUGUAAGCUCUCAAAGUUAUCCUACUGUUAGUUGUGCCCUACGUAUAAGAAAGUCCUGAUUUCGCUCCCAUGUGUACAGAAUUGAUAAAUACUAUGUCGUCAACUGCAGAAUCUGAACAUUUACAUAGUAAUGACAUUUACACAGUUCUCUUACUACUGAUAAUUCAUUAGACGUACGAUAACUUCUAUUCCCCAGUUUUUUUCAAUCAAUAAUCCUCAGAACUUACAUUCUGCGAGUUCAUUGCGUCCUUUUUUUUAAUCUAAUUUGCUGUUUCUGUAGAGAGGAGCACGAACUGCACAUCCACAUGUGAGAACAGCUUCUCGGACUCCUUCCCGGUCAAGGGGUAUUUUUCGAAGUUUGCCAGUUCCAUUUGCGGAAUUAGUUAGGAGCAUCGAAUGGUCAACGACGGACGUAGAUCUGGUAUUUCUUUUAAUUUCCUCUUGUACUUGCAUUUCGAGUUGUUAAUUUUUACGGGUUCUGCUUCUUUUUUAGUUUUUACAAAAAAAGAAUCAUCUUUAGAUUCUUCCAGUGCAUGAUAUAGAUGUGGGUUGAUAUAUUCUUUUGUUGCCCAUAUACUAUUGAUGAUUUUGUCAUAAAAAAUUACUGCGGAUUUCACUUGGAAAAGUUUUUUCCAAUCUCAUUCUAAGGAGAAAGAUCAGAAAAUAGAAGAUAAAAAAAAGGAGAUUGUGACAAUAAGAAACUUAAUUUUUAUUUUAAUUAAAUUAGAUAGUUUUUUCCGUAACAAAAUUAUUUAUUUAGGUUAGCCAGAGGAAAAAGGGAAAAUAAAGGGGCCUGCUAAAUAUUCAAGUAGACAACUACUGAAAGCUACAUAAAAAUAAAACUUACUGAUCCACCCUUUUAUAUAUACUGUAUUUUCUAUAAGAGAUGGAUUUAUUGUAAAAUAAAUAAAUUGCGUAAAAGAAUGAUGGCCAUGGACUAAUUUAGACAUGAAUAUCUUCUAAGUAUAAUCCAAAAUGAAAGAGAUGCUUCUAUCGAGAGAUUAACAAACAUAAUGUUACAUUCCUUUUCAUGAUUUUUCAGAAUCUUGAUAAUUUCUUUCAAGCAAUGGAGGAAGUUGAAUUGGGAAAUGAUACGGACGACGAAAUACCUAAUUUUCAACAGAUGCAACGGGAUUUUAACGAGUAUGUGCCUCUCUUACUUCAUUGAUAUCCAUUAUUGUUGGUCUUGCCAUUUUCCCAACAGCUGCAAACUAAUGUACCCCUUUGGAACACCGUUAUGUUUAGUCAUGUUUCUUAUUAUAUGCUGCUAUAUCAGAGGAGUUUUAAUUCUAGUACAAUAUAUUUCUUAAUGAGAGUUCAUUAAAACACUGGUGAUGUUUUAUAUAUUCAAUGAUUAAUUUACUUUCUACCUAUUGCCUAGUUUUGUUACACUCACAGCCUCACACCUUGCUGAUUUUUCUGAAUCAAAUUUUACGUGACGCAAUGCCCUGGCAGAUGGAUUUCUCUGUUUUUGACUAUUGGAAAUUUGCAAAUUUAUCUUCUUUUUUUUAAAAGAAAAAGAGAAAAAAGCUAAGAGCUUGUUUGGUACAAUUCCUUUUUUUUAUCAUUUUCUAAUCACAAGAUAGAGUGCGCCUGCGAUGGCGUACUUCUCACAAUGUUUACUUCUAUGGGUUUUUUUGGCAUUAAGAACAGAAAUUUAGUUAUGAUUUUUUGUGUUUUCUUAUAGAACGAAGAAAAGGCACCACUGCACAUCCGGCCUGGGUGCGUGCAUCUCAAGCUAGCCAGCAUGAGAGAAUAAUGAAGUCCAUCUGUCAGAACAUCCAAUCUCAUAAACUGUGUGUUAAAUAAUCAAACGAUGUGGACAAUACUAAGCAAGGGCUAAAAGAAUAUUUGCUACAGAUUAUUCGUUUUUGGUUGCCAAACAAACCCCUUAGAUGUGUAGAUUCUAAACAACAUACCGUCUUCUGUCUGACUCCUCUGUACAGAAAUUGACUUUAAAAAAAAAAAUAAAAAUCAAACAAUCAAAAGCAUGAUCAAGUGAGGCCUUAAUGUUUUUCUGUGUUGUUGCUAUAUUGUUUCUAGUUGCAAUUGUACGUUUUUGAACUCAUGCUGAUUUAACAAAUUAUGUGGUUUUUUGUGAGGAAUGAUUACAAAUAUUACAAAUUUACACUUAUUAACUUUAGUCUGGGAAAACAUAAACAACAAGGAGGGAGGAUAUUACUUUAAGAUAUUGGUAAAUUGCACCUUAUAUCAUUGAAACAUGAAAAAGUGGAAUCGAAGUGGUAAAUAUGUGAUGGCUAACAAGAAAACCUAACUUGAAACUUGAAAGUAUUGAUGCCAUGCGCCGAACUUGCUUUUCUACUUUAUUAAUGUUUAGAUUAUCGGAAUCUAAUUUUUCUUAGAUGAUCUCCCUUACAUUUGAAGGACAAUUAUCUAGUACUCAAUUUCGCUUGUGAUUCUUUAAAUAUCAAAUGAGCAGCAUCUUAUUAUUAGUAUUUUUUUCUUUUCUAUCUGAAUCUAGAAAUGAUUAUGAGAUGCUAUUGUCACUGGAUAACAACAAUCACCGCCAUUCUGGAGCUUCACAGAAUCAGAUCAACAAUUUGCCGCAAUCAGUUGUCCAGGUCUGAUUUUUCUCUAUGUUAGCGCACCGUAAAAAAAGUUAUAUACCAGUAUAUAAUCCUAAUAUCUUUCAAUAUUGUUCUUGUUUCUAUCAGAAUAAUAAUAUUGAAGAGCCAUGUGCCAUCUGCCUCGAGAAACCCUCAAUCGGCGACACCAUCCGGCAUUUACCAUGCUUGCACAAAUUUCACAAAGAUGUGCGUUUGUUUACUCUAUAUUGACUUUUUUGGGUGAGAUCGUAUAGAUGUUACCUCACUAUAGCACAUAUUGAAAUGAGUACCAAACUUUCAUUGCUUUACUUCUGCCUCCAAGUCACAGAGUAUUAUAGAAUAGUUAUUUGAUCAUACAAAUACCAUCAAAUUCUAUAUUAAGUUGCUUCAAUUAAAACACACUUUAUGGUUAUGUAUUGAAAUCAAACCUUUUAAAGUCCAGUCCAGGUACCCAUUUCAAAAUGCGCUAAUGCUUAGGCAAGUUCUGUAUAGUUUUACCAUUUCUUUUCUUGCUAAACAGAAAAUCUUAUCGUAUAAAGAAUAAACACCUGAAAUUGCAGUGCAUCGACGAAUGGCUGAGGAGGAAGACUUCAUGCCCGGUUUGCAAGUGCGGUAUCACUUAGAAUGAUGCACCCCGGCAGACCAGCCUUCAAAAUGACCGCUAUGAACAGUGUGAUCAUUCUGCCCAUCCUUCCAAAUUGAUCUCCAAGUAAUUCCUCCAAAUCUUUCGUUGACAUAGGGAUUAGAAUCUUAUAAUCCUUUUAUCAUGACAUCCGUCUUCUUGAUUUGGUGGGAGAACCAUCCUUUAUUAGGAGAUCAACAUGCAUGCUUUUGACCUGGAGGGUUUCCUGAACAUGAAUUGCUAGAACUUAGUCGGCAAUUAAUGGUGUUAUUUAUCGAACCGACUGUAAACAUCAACAAACUCAGCACCAUUCUGUCGAUUUUCGUACUGUCGACUGUAAAAGAAUGCAUUUCAUCAUGCAUCUCAUUAUCUGCUGAAUUUCAUUCUACCUGUGGUUCAGUUGAAGUGUAUUUUGUAUUCUGUUUGGAUGCUGCUUACUUUUUGGUUAAUCAAUGCUUCCAUAUAUGAAAGUCUAAUAGAUAUUAAAAGCAGCUAGAAAGUUUUAGGUAUAGCCUUGAGACUAUUUCAGCCCUUCAUAAGCCAUAAAUUUUAAUACCAGAAAAAGGUUCAAAGUGCUAGUGUAAGCAAAAUGUAAGAAAUUUAAACUGCCUUAUGUAGAUAGAGGACAUGAUAAAUAGUAGAGGUAUUGAUUUUGAUGUGAAGAGUAAAAAUCUAUACUGCCAAAAGAUCAACUGAUUUUUAAUUAUUCUUACCAUUAUUAGUCAACAUAUGACCUUUCUAAGAGCUUUAAGAUUAGUAUUAUUGAUCACACUGGCUAUUUAUCACUUAAUGCAUCCUCAAUUAUAAAAUGUAAAGCCUUUGAAAAAACAAAAGAAAAUCAAGAUUUAACACUUGAAAAGGAGAUUAAAACAGAUUAGGUACAAUUUGGUUUAUAAAAGAUAACUAAAUAUAACUGAAAAUAUUAUGAAAGUAUAAUAUUCUGAUAUAUUAGAGUCAUUAUGUUAUUUUUAUCUCUAAGGAAAGAAAGCUAAAAUGAAUAAUGAAUAAUUCACUAGACAUUGGAUAAUGUGUAUAUUAUUACUUGAAUUAUUCUAUUGAUUAAUGUUAUGCAUAGAAUUUUUGGGGAAUUUCUUUUCAAUACUUGUAUAUUAAUGAAUGAGUAAAAAAGAGGUAUUGGUGCUACCAAAAUAUUUGUUUAGAUUUAUGAAAUAUUCAGCUUGAAAUAGUUUGGUUUAGACUUUGAGCAAUACCAUGAUGUAAAUUUUACAACCGAAUCAUUUAAAGUUUCAUAAUUUUUAUUUUAUAAUAGAGUAUACAUAUAGCAUUUUUUCUUCAGAAUUUUAGUACUAUACUAUCAAAGUUGCAAAAUCUUUUCUUUUCAGUGCAUGCAAACCUGUAAAUUCCAAAAUUUACUCCUUUCUUUUCAUUGUAAACUUGUAAAUUCCACACCCUUUUUUAUGUUCAAAAUUCACACACAAGGAACAAUUAAUUAAUCCCUAUUCCUCUCCCCCACAACAACAUACAAUACAAUGAUGCGCGCCAAAAACGCAUUCAAAUAGAGAGAUGUUGUGCUUCCUCAGCACUCCACCCCACAGGGCUUGAGAACCGGCCCGGUCGGCUUCGGCAAGAAGGGGUCGAUCCGGACCCAAACCAGCGAGAAGAUGGACGCGAGCAGUAUCGACCAGAGCACGACGAUGGUCGGCGUGCGGUUCUGCCGCCCCAUCAGCCCCUUCAGGAACGGGUACAGAUGGACGAUCACCCAGAAGGCGAAGAACAGCUUCCCGAACAGCGGGCCCCACGACCCGUACCCGUUGUUGAUGGCGUCCGACACGCCCGCGACGACGCCGACCAUGUUGAGGAUGAUGAGGGUGGUGGGGGGCACGAGGAGGGUGGUCCACUUGAAGAGGUAGAGGUCCCCGUACUCGUCCUCCUCGUCCCCCGCGGACUUGGACGUGACGGUGAAGUUGGUGUCGACCCCCCCAAGGACCUUCAGGAGCCCCUGGAAGACUGCGAAGAGGUGCGCGGAGACGCCGCCGAUCACCCAGAACUGCUCGUUGCGCCACCAGUCCUGGAUGCUCACCCCGCUCCACCGCAGCUCCAGGAUCCCCGUCGCGAUGAUCGACAGGAACAGCGCGAUGAACCAUAUGCUUGCCAGACUGUUCAGCUAUCAAUUCAAAAACAUAUCACAAGCACGGCAUAUCAUCUAUUUCUCUUAAUCGAAAAAGUGCAAUAUAUGUGAAAGUCCAGGCAUUGGAGUGUUUGAAAGUAAGUAUAUGCAUUCUUACAGUAGGGAUGAUAAAUUUUCUGGAGGUGAAGGGAUAGACGAUGGUGUUGGUGUAGGCGAGCCGCUCGAGCCACUUGAGGUUGCCGCCAUAGCCGUACCAGAGCGGGCAGUGGCGGCUAAGGAAGAUCUCGACAGAGCCGAGCGCCCACCGCAGCACCUGGUGCAGCCGGUCCGACAGGUUUAUCGGGGCCGACCCUUUAAACGCCGCCCGGUCGGGAACGCAGUACACCGACCGCCACCCCCUGCAGUGCAUCUUGAACCCCGUCAGGAUGUCCUCCGUCACUGACCCGUAGAUCCACCCGAUCUGACAAUUACAGACGAAGAUCGCUGCUAAAUGCGCAGAUGAAAAAUGCAAAAUAACUGUUGUUCUUUAAAAACUUUUAAUCAUUUGCACUCAAAUAUAUAUCGGGAACAUUAAUUUUUGUAAACAUAGAUUAAGAAUCUAUAAACAUAGUGAGAUUAGGUUCUAGUUUUUACUUUAGAAUUUUAAAAGCCUCAAAGCACCAGUGGUCUAGUGGUAGAAUAGUACCCUGCCACGGUACAGACCCGGGUUCGAUUCCCGGCUGGUGCAAAUUUUUGUCAUAUAUAUAUAUAUAUAUAUAUAUAUAUAUAUAUUUUACUUUACGAAGUAGUUUGUUAGUGCGUCCAACAGAUCAAUCGGGAAUGUAGUCAUACUACCUCCUUGCCCCAUUCGGUCUUCUCCUCGUAGCCACAGCUGAUGACGUGAAUUGCCUCCUUGAUGAGCGCCGCGCCGUCGGCCGGUCCCUGCGGCAGCCCGCCGUGCUUCUCGAAGUUCUUCUGCGACAUGAGCGUCGACCGCUCCAGCUCCUCGUACCCCUCCAGCCCCUCCUCGAUCUCCUCCAACUCGAACCCCGGCCGCCUCUUCUUGUACCCGAUGCCGGCGCCGACGGCGUCAUCCUUCCUCUUGCUCUUCUUACCGCCGUAGAGCUUCGCGAGGAAGCCCCGCCGCUCGAAGGAGGGUGCAGAAAAGUCCUUCUUGUUGUCGUGGUCGCUUUUGGAUUUGGACUUUCGCGAGCAGCAGCAGCAGCAGCAAAAGCGGCACCAGGAGGGCCAGCAGUCGCAGGUCAUCUUGGGGCGCUUCUCGCUCUUCGGCGGGUCGUAACCGUACAAUGCCUGGCGGUUGAACACGCAACCCGUGCCGACGUACACCGGCCCUUGGAUACCAUCCAAACCUUUCAUGUUGAUCUGCAGUGGGUCAUACGACGAGUAUAUAUUUCAGCUCAUUUCAGGUUUUUCCUUCUCGUGCUCCAUAAGAUUACCACUAAUGCUUGAGAUGUAUUUUUGUUCUGGAUGGACGGUCAGAUCACCGGUGCAUACGAAUUACUUACGUCGAAGAAGACCACAUUGCGGUUGGCGUAGCGGUCGUGGCGGUCGAUGCCGUCGAACCGCUGCGGGAACUGGACGUAGCAGAGCUUCUUCCCCAGCUGGGGAUCCAUCAGGAAGCACAUGGCUUCUCGCAUCGCCUUGCUGUUGUUGAUGUAGUGGUCGCAGUCCAGGUUCAGCAGGAACGGCGCGUUCGUCAGCACCGCCGAUACUCGAACCUAUGAUCAAGUCAAUCAAAUGCGUACCACACGAAUUAGCAUUCGCAGAAGCUUCUUUCUGCAGUAAAAAUAAAAGUUUCAAAUUAAAGAUUCUGCUAACAUACCAUUGCGUUCAUAGCGCCUGCUUUCUUGUGGUGUUGAUAGCCCGGGCGCUUCUCACGUGAGACAUAGACGAGCCGGGGGAGCUCCUUCCCUUCUACGUCGAGUGCCCCCUGGCUCCCUAAAUACACCUACACAACAAUAAUUACUGCAUUAAUUACUAUCAGUUCUACAUGCGUUUCUAACUGUUGGAUCGCCUUAAGAUCCGUACAGUACUAGUACGCAAAAUUUAAUGGGACACACUGUUUAUAGUGUUGUACGAAUCUUGAGACAAUUCGACGGCUAAAAAGUUAUAAGUACAGAUUCUCCUGUGUUUUUAAAAGCACAGGAGCUCUACUCUUAAGAUAAUGACUACUCAUGUUUUGCAUUGGUUGUUUGCAGUUGUGAUUACAUUACAGUUGUAACUAUAGACAGAUUUAAAUUAUGUGUUUGAUUUGAUACAUCCGAAUUUAACCGCUAUAGUUGAAAAUGCGUAAGACGAUCCAACUGUAGUAGCUGAAAUUGUGCCUAAAUUGACUGUAGUUUUAACGGCAGCGGUUGGAAAUAGUAACUUUAAGUAAAAGAAAAGUUUACCUUUCUAAUUGCAUCUAACCAAACAACAACUCAAUUGUCUAUCGUACUCCUUAAAGUCCCGAUCGACAUGUGAUUUGUUUUGAUUCGAUCUUAUUUGCGAAAAAAUAUUUGAUCAAAACGAUUCAAACCUGAAUCAUUCCCGGGUGGUCUCUUGUGUUAUUCCCGGGCCACGGCGUUCCGUCCUGCAUCACCCACCCUUCCUCUGGUUUCUUCUGCGCCUUCGCCACCAACGCAUUAAUCCUUACUUUAAACUCCUCGUACUCUCUCUGCAUCAUCAUUUAGUCAACUGAAUUGGAUUGUAUGAAUACUUUGUUUAGAUCUUAAAUUAACCGACAUUUGCGACAAACAUACCUUCAUCGCCCUCCGCUCCUUCACAAAUGUCGGCUGCACCUUGUCUUUCAAAUAGUCGAUCUUCUGCGAGAAGUAGAACUCGGGGGCCCGCGGCUCGACGGCGUACUUCUUGCAGAACGGCACCCACCGCCGCGCGAACUCGGCGGUCUCGGACAGCGUGUCGAACAGCAGCAUGGACGCGCCGUCGUCCGACACGUAGCAGCUGACCUUGCCCACCGGGUAGUCGACGGAGAGGAUCGAGAGGACGGUGUUGGCGGUGAUGAUGGGCGGCUCCUUGAGGGGGUCGACGGUCGAGACGAAUACGUCGACGGGGGCCAGGCGGUCCGGCUGGCCGUUGGCCGGCUCGAACCGCGCGGAGAGGCGGUCGAGGUAGGUCUCCCGGGUUACGGGGGACCACUUAGGGAACUGGUCGAGAAUCCAAGAAAGCGCGAACCAGACCUCGCAGACGACGGAGAUGAGCCAGAGCGGGUAGGCGUCGCGGGCCGGGGUGGUGAGGCGGAAGUGGAGGAAGAAGGCGAGGACGACGAGGCGGAGCAUGAUGACGAUGCGGUAGGGGUUGAUCUUGCUCGACGGAAUCGGCACCUUCCGCCACAGCGGCUGCCGCGCCUCCGCCAUCCUGUCAAUCAAUUCAAAAAAGAAAAAAAAAACAUCAUAACGACAGAAGUACAAAUCACUCGACGAUCUUCAAACUUUAAUUUGUUGUAAUAAAGUACGACAAGUUUUGGAGAUGAAAAUCAGGAAAAGACACGCAAAAAAGAAAAAGAAAUACAAAUUAAACAAAUUAAGGUAAGGAAUGAAAUAAACUUACAGCAGGUAAUCAUCAGCAUCAUCAUUAUUUUCCUCAUCAUUUUCUGCAUCAUCUUUGUUCACCACCCCAUUCUUGUCCUGUUUUGCCUUCCAUUUCUCUAUCCUGUCCUUCCACUCCAGGUUACCUUCUAACUCCCUCUCUGCCUCCAGAUCCUUACCAGCAACUGAAAAAAAUAUAUAUAUAUUUAUAUAUAUAUAAAAAUAUGUUAAAAUCAAAGAGGGGAUAACAUAUAUAUUAGAUCCACCUCAUCUAAUCUCGUUUCUGAAGUUGUAUGUUUGUUUUAUCGAGGGUGAAAUUUAGAUUGAAAUAGACUUUUGAGUAAAUUAGAGUUCAGAUAAAAAUUACUUUUCUUCCGCUAUUUGUUUCUUUCUAUAACUGCGGAACUGAAGUUUCUCCAGUCAGUCCUGCUGUUUUUUUGACAGAAAUUGAAUAACAUAAAUCAUAGGGAAAACUUCAAAAACCCCCCCUGUGGUUUCGUGCAUUCUCACUUUGCUACCCUGUGGUUUAAAACGUAUCAAUUUACCCCCCUGUGGUUUCAUUUUUAUCUUUUCGGAAGCUUUUUCGUUAAUAUUUCGUUAAAUUAUAUACAAAAAACUUCAGAUAACCAUCUAUAUUUAUCGAAUAGUCACUUUAGUAUCUUUAAUUUUAACUUUGUCACUGAUUUUAAAAAAAAAUACUAAUAAAAUUGAUAACAAAAAGAUAAAAACGAAACCACAGGAGGGCAAAUUGAUACGUUUUAAACUACAUGGUAGCAAAGUGAGAAUGCACGAAACCACAGGGGGGUUUUCGAAGUUUUCCCUAACAUAAAAGCUGAAGUUUCCUGUCACUAAAUUUUAGCUCGGCGUGAGCCGAAGUUAAUUACAGUAUUUUGAAAACUUUAAGUUCGACUGCUGGUGAAAUUAAUCUAAAUAAUAAAAUCACCGUAAUCCUCUUCACUUUCGAUGAAACAAACACUCUCUAAAACUUUGACCGAGCCUGAAACUUUUUUAAUUAAACCUAAAUAAUACGAUAUUAACGAUAAAACAAAUUAACCAUUGAUCACACAAUUUGCACUAACCACUUCCUGCAAAGGAGGAGAGUGCCGGCCCGCCGGGCCGCCAUUGCUGCACCGCCGCCGUCGUCGGCUCGCCGUUCUCCUGCAGCAAAGAAAUAAUAUAUAUAUGGAUGAGUGUUUCAUAUGUUUUUUGUAGUAUCAACAUUUUAUGAGUGAGAUUGGAUUAACAUGUAUUCUUAUUAAUUAUGUUAAACACUUAAUUAAUUAACUAAUUAAAUUACCGAGUUAACAUCGAAGUGAUUAAUACGUUCUUGAGGUUUUCUCGGGCUCUUGAUUUGGAACUCAUCCUCAAAGUCAUCCAUUUCGGCUCCUUCCUCUUCAUCCCCUGCAACUCUUGGGCACCCUGUGUAAUUAAUUGUCUCACAUUAAUUAAGUCACAUCCGUUAUCAUGUUAAAUUACCCAUUAUAUGUUCUAUUAUUAUUAUUAUUAUUUUUUAUUGUUACUGCAAAUAAUUUUAUGGCCUGUUUGGAUCUCGAAAUAAGUUAUUUUCAAUGAUAAUUUAUACGCUAUGAUUUGUUUUUAACUAAAAACUAAUUAGACCAAAUUUGUAUGUGGGAAGAUAUAAAGAUUUCUUGUGUGAUUAAAAGUUAUAUUUUAUUUUUCUUUCUUGAAAGGUCUUUAUAUUCAUGGUUUAGUAAGAUAAUAUAAUUUAAUUUACCUAUGAAAUAAUUUAUUUUAUUAGAAAAAAUAACUUGAAGAUCGAAUAUGGUAUCCCUUCUAGAAAUUUUAAUCAUACUCCAAUCUACUAAAUAUUGUAUAUUUUUCAGUAAAUCUGAUAAGAUGUUUAUGUAUUCAUACAAGGGGUAAGAGUUUGAUUUUAACUCCUUACAAGAUAUUCUCAAAAUAGAGUAUUCACCUACGAGAAAAAUAAUUUCCCUUAUUCUGAGAGAAUAAUUUGGAGGUCAAAUAUAGUUUACUUUUCUAGACAUUUUGAUUAUUUAUACAUCAAAAGAGGCUCUACAAUGUUGGCUAUUUAUUAUUGAUUAAAAUAAGUCCAACUUUCUGCUCUGUGAUGAUAAGUUUAGGAGACUAAUAAGUUAAGUGAGAUUACAGUCCAUAAUAGACCUAACAGUAAGAGACCUAACAAUAAACUUAAUGUCCAGAUGAGCUGAAUCGGGUUGAAGGCCAUGAACACUAUGGUUGAAUCCUUAAGUACGAUGGAUGUAUCAUUUCUAUCAACACGUGUUUUUGAAAGUUAGUAAACGCUUACGAUCUACAUACGAGACUACGAGAAAGAACUACGUAAUCCAAAUGCUUCGAGUUGAGGGCCAUACACUCUUCUAUAUAGUCUGCAUUUAUCCAAAAUUUAAUUCAAGUUAUGAUAAUAUAAAUUGUAUAUUUACUUUGGCCAAAAGAAAAAAAGAAAAGAAAAGAAGAAAUAUUCAGCUUAAUUACCAACAUGAUAUAAACUUACACUAUUGGAACCCUAACAAGUCGAAAACAUUUGUAGGAAAUAGAGAUGUAACGUAACAAACCUUUCUGGCGCUUGUAGCGAGUGUUACACUGCGGGCAGCAUUGGUUCCCUUCACUCCUCUCAUACUCAUAACAAGGCCGGCACACCGGAAAGCCGCACUCGCGGCACGCGACGAACAGCUCGCCGUCGCCCCUGAGCCCGAUCUCGUCCCCGCAAACCCGGCAUGUUCUCGCAUUCGCGACCCGGCUGUUCUUCUCCGUAGGCUGCUUAUCAACGUACGUGCAUGCACAAAAUAGAUCAAAUUAUAUAACCACUACUUCAGUAAGGACAGUGAUGCUGAUAGAGCAGACACGUUUGAUUUUACAAGAAUAUGCAAGUCGAGUCAAUCAUAUAAACAUUGUUUAAGUUCAAUGUAUCUGCUCUGUCAAUAACAAUUUCUACUGUUCAGUAUUUUUGUGAAGUCGGUACAAAUACGAAAGUAUGCAGAAGGAAAUACGAACAACCUCUUCGUGGCCAUGCAUCACGUGCAACUCCUUGCGUUGGUGCGAGCCCGCGACGAGGCCGGCCAUGUCCAUGAGAGGAGGAGGAGGAGAGGAUGAGGGAUGGAGGAGGGGAGAGGAGUGAUGGGGGUGGUAUAUAUAAAAGGGUGGUGGUGAGGUGGGAGAAGGCAAUCCUUCACCAACUGUGGGUUGAGGGGUCAGUGGUUUUGAUUAGAAGAGAAGGUAUAUAGCCUGCGACUUGUGCUGGCAAAAGGGCUCGCUUGGAGCCUAAGUUGUUGCUCAAAACUAACACCCAUGCAGCAGGUGUUUGGUGUGUGGUUUAUACAUGUACAUAGAUAUACACUUGAAGCAAAAGACUUCGUUACAACAUGUAAUUAAGUUACUCAUCCAUUAUAGUAGUAUUUCAUAGAACUAGACUAGAAUACUACCAACAGCACCAAGCUAUCAGUGCUAUUAGAUUUUCAGCAUUUGGAUGAAGGAAUAUACGGUUAGGAUGAUGUAGACUUUAUAGGGUUGAGUAAGUUGUUGGUUGAAUAGUAUAUUCUAACGGAUAAAAAUAGUCAAAAUGUUGAAUUUAACGGUAGAAAACUCGAUAACACCAAACGUUUGGUGCUAUCGAUAGUAUCCCAGCCGAAUUCGUAUUUCAUAUCCUCUCUAAAAUCAGGCCUUUUGUUUUGCAUAUAUUUGUAAACGAUGUUUUUCUUUUUUUUUCUGUUGUUAGUUUGUAGAUUUUUACUGUAUACAUAUUUGUUCAUACUUGAAGUGUGAUUUGAAUUUGAGACAAGUUGCUUGAGCAGGAAGGUACUGUCUAACUGGUCUGACAAACAGUGGUAAAUAAAAGUAUGAAUUUCAUAUAAGAUUUCGAAAAUUCCUAUGUAUCAUCUUUGUCUCAUUUCAAAUUUAUAUAAGAUGUACAUAACCUACUAAACUGAUGUUCUAAAGGAGGAUGGGACUGAGAUGUCCCAACAUCCCCUUCAGUUCAUAUUUUCCUGAUAGAGAUUUUUAGGGGAAACUUUAUGUAAAUUUGAAGUUAGUAGGGUCAAGAAAAUAGCAUCCUUUAACUUGAAAGGAUCUCUAGUGUAAAAAGGUAACGGCUACCAAUUAAGCAACCCAAAAAAGCUAGUACAUCAUUCUCAUUGUACUUUUAUAGCUUGCUUACUAAUUAUUGAUUUGCACACAUAAAGUAGCUAGCUCCUAAUUAAGUUCUUUUUCGUUGGAAAACUUUAUCUUAAUUAACUAUUUCAUUAAGGAAAUUUAUUAGUGUCUUAAUAUUACAAUAAAGAGUAAAAAACUAACUGGGAUGCUCUUGGUUCAAGUGCUUAGCAUGCUUCAAUUUAGUCCUCAAUAUGACCUCCAACCUGUAUAGUGUAUUGCAAUUUUACUCCUUUCAUUAGUUUGCCAUUUCAGUUUCUCCAUUAAAAUGGACAAAGAUAUCCAAAUGAAAUCUUAAAAAAAAAAAAGAGAAAAAGAAGGAAAACUUCAAAUACCACCCCUGUGGUUUCGCACUUUUUUACUUUAGUACCCCGUGCCUGUGGUUUAAAGUGUAUCAGUUUAGUACCCUACGAUUUCGCACUUUCUCACUUUAGUACCUUGUGGUUUAAAGUGCAUCAAUUUAGUACCCUGUGGUUUCAUUUUUCUCUUUUCGUCGGCUCAUCUGUUAAUAUUUCGUUAACUUAUAUACAAAAAACUUCAGAUAUCCUACCUAGGUUUAUCGAAUAUUUACUUUAGUACCCUUUAGCUCUAACUUUGUCACUUAUUUUUUUCUCCUCCGUUAAUAUUUUGUUAUAUUAUAUACAAAAGACUUCGGAUACCCUACCUAGGUUUAUUGAAUAUUCACUUUAGUACCAUUUAAUUUUAACUUUGUCACUGAUUUAACGAAAAAAAUUAAUGAAAUAGAUAAUAAGAAGAGAAAAAUGAAACCACGGGAUACUAACUUGAUACAUUUUAAACUAAAGGGUACUAAAGUGAGAAAGUGCGAAACCACAGGGACUAACUUAGUACACUUUAAACUACAAGGUACUAAAGUGAGAAAGUGUAAAACCACAGGGACUAACUUAGUACACUUUAAACUACAAGGUACUAAAGUGAGAAAGUGUAAAACCACAUGAGGGGUAUUUGAAGUUUACCCUAAAAUAAAUAGAUAUUAUCUCUAGCAAUAAAAUGGAAAGUUUAAGAAAACAACUGUUGAAAUGAAAAAGGCCCCUGGCAAGUCCCUCUUUAAAAGCAAGAAGAGACCAAGUGAUAGGCAAAACAAAAUUACUGGACACAAAUUGAAUACUCCAGAGAGAAUGCUUACAUAAGCAACACGGAAUAAGAACUUUAUAAUUCAAUUUCCACUUUAUUUAAAGAAACCUAAAUUGUUCCUUUUGCACCAGAACUUAAGAAAACCACGAAUGCAGCAAGUAAACUUUAUUGUCAACCAGAAUGGUGAAAAUGAUUACAUUAAAUACUUUCUUACAUUAUGUGGAGUUGCUGUAACUAAAUCACUAUAAUUUUCCAUGAACAAUUUGAUUCUAACCCGGCAACGUGUGAUGAGCAUAUGUUGCCAGCAGAGAUUGUUAGACGAGCUCCAUAAAUACUUCAACUUCAGAACUGAUCUAUUUGAAAAGCAUUUAUGGUAAAAAAAAAAGAAAAAAGAAAGAAUACAAAAUGCCACUUUUCGGAAACCAUCUGUUGAUAUUGGAACUUGGUAGUAAUUCACAGGCCCUCCGCAAAACGAAGUGAUUUAAGAUUCCACAUAAUUUCACGCGCGAUUUUGGCUUUUGAUGCAACCCAUAUGUUUGAUGGUGCUUUUUUUUCCUUUUGAAAUGUCCAUGAUAUAUGUAGCUACAAAUCAUGGAACAGCCGCCUAAUUUGUUCAACUGUUGCAGGCAUCAAUGUGACAGGGCAUCUUUUAUGCUGCUCAGCCCAAAAAAAAAAGAAAAAACCACAUUAGAAAAGGCAGUGAGGGGGGAGAAGAGAACAUGUGCAUCCCAUUUAAGGGGGAAUAUGUCAAAAAGUUGAGAGAUUUUACCUGUGAUACAUACUUAAAUAUGCAACUAUAGCAGAAAACAAAACCGGAAACGGCAAGAACCGAUGGGUUGGCUCGUUUUUGGCAGCAUAGAGGACACAAUGUCCUAUCCGGUGGUAAGGGAAUUCCAUCCUUAGCAACCUGCGGUUGAAGUUCAUCACCAAACAAUAUCAGAAUAGAGGGAGUCAUCACUGAAUUGAUUAGCUUUGAGGAAUUCAGUGGAGAUAACAUAAAAACAUCGCAUUCAACUCGAGCUUCUUAGCAGCUCGUUUACUAGAGCAUCGUUUCGAUACACUUACAUUGUUUAAAAAAAAAAAAAAAACUCAAAUUCGUUCCAAGUGAUUGUACCGGCAAGCUAGAAUUUUCUGUCAUAGUUAUUGUUGGUUAACUAGACAACCACCUUUUUGAGAAACCAAAAAAGCAAAACGGUAACUAUCAACGAUGUAAAAUAUUGCAACAGUCCUGUCAUCCACCAGCACAUUCAAUCGCUUGGAAUAUAUAUUAAAUAAGCACAUAUGUAACUAAACAAGGCCUAUAUAUGAUGCCUUCACUGCAAAACGAGCCCAUGAUAUUUAAGUCACCUUCGGAGGUGGAGGUGGAGGAGGCGGGGGAUAAACAGUUGGUGCUGACAUCCUUUCUUCUGCGGAUUGGUACCACCAUUCCAUCAUCUGCAUAAGAUGCCCAAAGAGUCAUAUUUCAAGUGUAAAGUAACCAACUUUAUAUUCAUCACAUUAGAAAGUGGAUUUCAGACUUUGUCAAGUACGUCAUGAUGAAAAAUAUCUGGCAUUUGACUACACAAAAGCCAUAUCAAAAGCAAGAAGGUUUUAUAAUCACAAGUGCAAGAAAUUACAUUUCAUUGUUGGUAACUUAUCCAACAGCAGACUAUCAAAACUAUCAGUAAUGAUAACUGAGAUGCUAUCUUAUCCUGGUGGGACAUAUUCGGACAAACAGCAAACAAGAGAGGAAAGAAUAACAGCAUUGGAGUUGGAGCAAGAAUAAUCAUAAGUCAUCAAAACGUCGGAAAAGAAAAUCAUAAGCCGAAGCCAGAUUAUUUUGAGCCAUACUCCUAUUAAAGUUUAAAAAGUACAUAAGGCCCACUAACCUUGAAAAAGAAGACAGCAGCAAUUAAACCAGUUUGCGCAUAAUCCAAAGUGGUGUAUAUGCAAUUGAGAAGCACUCUCUGCACAGCCUGUGUGGAACAAAUAUACUAUGAUUCAUAUUUUUUUACUUACAGGCACAGACAGCUUGCUGAGUAAUCCUCACAACACGAAAUAAGAGGUACUCCACAAUUUAUCAGAAAAUAAGUUAUUUGCACCUUCAACCAUGGAGGACCACGCAGCCGCUCAAGUUCACGACUUCUAAUCCUUGAAAUCCUAGAUGAUGUAUCCAUCUACCUUGACAUGGAAAGGUAAAAACUAGAGAAUUUAACUAGCAAUACACAAUAUAAUUUAUUUAAUGCAUUUUGUAUCUUAUUUUAAAUAGUGAUUUCAUGUAAUACACGAUAAAAUCAACCAUGUUGACUAGAUAUAGAAGUUUGAAAAUAAAGUAACAGAGCAGAGCAGAUGCUUUAAUCUUGUAAAUGUUUUUGAUAUUCUAUUCUUCUUGACCUUCUAGUGAAAGUAACAAGUAACAGCAAAGAUAAAUGCUGAUAGAAACAAGCAUUAGUAGAAGAUGAUAUGCCAGUUUUCUUCAAGGCUAUUAUCAGGAUAUAUGCCAAUAAAUUAGUAGUAAAACAUUACAUACCAGUUCUUGUCCUGUUGCACGACAAACAUGAAUUCCAAGUGCAUGUAGCGCUGGACUAUAAAACCCAGUAGCAUCCAAAAGAUACAAUAGUUGGUAAGCAAAUGACAGGCCUGUAGAGAAUGAAUGAAUUACAGGGUGUGAAUAUUGUGUUCCAUUUCUGUAAAACAUCAAAAGGAGAGGAAAUGCAAUUCAAGCGCAAUUUAUUAUCUUCAGAUGAAAGCACAAAGACAAUACUUUUCAAAUAGCAGUGGCUCAAAAUGGUAAUUGCUCAUGUCUGAAGGAACGAGUUAGGUUUAAGAAGGGCAUAUACAGAAGUUUAUAAUAGUCAAAGCAGGUAGGCUCGAACUUUUAUCUUGGAUGUUGGUUAACUUGUCUUAAACAUCGCAUGGUGGAGAAUUUCGAAAUAGUUUCCAAGUAGCAAUCUAAAGAGUUUAUUGUGCAGUGUACUAGUAGCAUUCUAGCAUGCAUGAGCUUGUUGGAUUGCUGUUUUGUAUUUAACAGUAAUAUACGCAUAUGAGCUUUCUAAGAUACAAUGGAGAUGGUACUAUAUAUGAGCCUUUUAAGACUAAACAUAUCAGAUAUGGUAUUUGUGAGUAUGGAUGAAAAGAGUAAACCAAUGUUCAAGCGCAUACAGAACUGUUAAAGGUUUUGCAAUAAACUAGUACAAGCCGCAGACCUUCAUUGGUGGCAUGAAUCCAAGGGUAGCAAGCACCUAUAAUAGCCAUAACUUUCCUCUUGAGAUGUGUCACACUUGAUACUUCCACACUUGUGGUUUCAACUUGUGCAUGAGAAGUUUCUCCUUGAUCUAGAAGAAAACCAGCUUCGUCCAGUCCUGGAUCAUCUUGGCCCCAAAGACUUGCUUGAAGCCUAGCUUCUCUUUCUCUGUUAUAGAUAGAGUGGAGCUUUGACUUGAAAUAUGGUAAAACAACCUAGAAUAGAAACAACCCUCAAUAUAGUUACUUCAGUGAAAAACUUAUAUAUGUGUGCUGAAACUUUUGAAAUUGUUUCUUUCGUUAUCUAAACAAAAUUCAUUGCAAAGAAAUGAAAACCGCUUUCACAGAAAAAGAAAUAAGGUGCCAGCAGGUACAACGGUACAAACCGUGCUGACACUAGACUAGCAUGCAGAGUUAUAAUAACGGUUGUUUCAAAAGCAAAACAUAACACCAAUUUUAAAAGAAAAAAAUAUUUCUCUUCUCACACACCGGAAUAAAAAUAGGGUAAUUUGAACUGUAAACGGAUAGACUAAUGCAUACUCAUGACUUUCAGCAGAAAUAAGAAAUAACUGUCUUCAGAGGAUCACAUAAUAUGUUGUCUAAUCAUUAAGGAAAAUAAAUAUCGACAAUGCUAAAAGCCAAAAGCAGACUUUGAUACCAGAAACACAACUGAAAGGACUUUUUGAUGCUUCCGCAGCCCAGAAUUAUAAACUUUAUCACUAGAUUCCACAGAAGUAGUGCCUUUAUCAGCUGUAAUCUUCACUGCUCUCCUUCGCAAACCAUAUAAGGACUCCGAGAAAGAAGCAUCUGAAAGGGAGAAAAUGCAAAGAAUCACAACAUGCAUGAUUGAAAAUCUUUUGAUUGAAAAAAGCAAAUUAUCAAAAGAAAAUUAAUGGAUUAAAAGUAACAUCACACAGCAAGAUAUCCUAGGAUUGAUAGAUUGAUGAAAUUCAAGAAUAAAAUCCACAGGAAUAUUGAAGAGCAAAAUGAUCCAAUGAUUCCAAUCACCACUAAAGAAUUAAACAUGGAGUCAUCUCAGGUAUAGAUCUCGAGUCACAAUUUUUUAAAUUUUAAGUGAUGUUUACUUUACAGAAGCAUGUACUUCUACUAUUACUCUCUGACAUUAAAAAUAUUGUGCUUCAACCAUGUUUCACAGCCAGUUUCUGAUCUUCUUUACAAUCGUUAGCAACUAUCCAAAAGAUUUCUGAAAUAUCAUCUAUGAAAUAUGGUACAGCUGGAGGGCGUGCUUAAGCAACUGCAUCAAUCAAUUUGUGCAGUAAAUGCCGUUUGUCAACUUCUUGACGAGCAAGCAUGAUGUCCUUUACUUUAUAGUAAUCGGCCAUAAAAGAAGCUAGCACACAUUCGUGCGGAUCUGAGUGAAAAUUGAAUGGAUUUUAUUUUAUUCUACCGUUAUGCAGUCAACCAAUCUUUUUGGUGGCAUGCAUUGCAGAAAAUAGCAACAAUAACAAGCAAGGCAAGAUCCUGAGGAAGGGAAAAGAAAUAAAUAGAGUGCCGCGAGAUAAGCGACACUUGCCGACAAACCUCAUAAGAGCAAAACAAAGGUGCAAUAUAAAAAACAUAAACUAGCCAACAAGUUCAACAUCAUGAUGCAGAUCUGGCAGGCCCUGCCAUCUCAAAUUGUUGCAACCUUGCAAUAGAAAUAUAGAGAGACAAAAUGAAAUCUACAAACUACGGUGGAGCAGAACCUGUUGUUCGUAAACUGUGAGUUUCAAGCACCGCCAUCAAUAAUGCAAAGAAUUCGUCAUCAUAAUCUAACACUUUGUGAAGGAAUGGUCUUCUUAAAGCGAGCACCUGUCACACAUAAAAUAAUGGAUCAGCACGCAUUUACACAAGCACUUGGCUGAUAAAAACAAACUAAGUUAGGUAAACGCCUUGCGAUUCCCCCCUCCAGUUAGCAUCUAUUAUCAUUAAAAGCUUCCUCUUGUACUACAACUCAAAUUUCAUAGGAAUCCCCUAAAUGAGCCCUUAUCAGUGGAAUUAGCCAGAUCAUGGACAUAGGAAACAGUAACAAGAACACAAACGAAGCAAAUUUUGAAUCCUAAAUCGAUCAAAUCAAACAAAAUAUCACUAGACUAUGGAGCACUAACUCAAAUUAUGCUCUACCCCCGCCUGAUAAAACCGAAAUCAUGUAGGUAAACGCCAUCCAAUUCUACUCAACUUAGUAUCUAAUCACUAAAAAUUUCCUCUUUUAUUACAAACUUCAUAGAAAUCACCUAAAGGAGCCCUUAUCAUUGGAAUUAACCAAAAAUUCAGCAAAAGUGAGACCCUAACUCGAUCAAAUUACCCAAUAAUACACGAAAACGAAGCGGGAUCGAAGGAGAUUAUUACCCCAAGAGAGUAGGUGAGAGCAGCUCUGAGGCUCGCGGGGAGCUGCUGCGCCGCCGCCAUCUCGAAGAAGGUCGGCCGCGUCCCCUGCCCCCCAACCUGGAACAACAUCUCGUCCUCCUCCUCCUCCUCCUCCUCCUCCUCGAUCAAAGAAUUAGGGUUUGUUUAGGGUUAGGGUUUAGGGCUUCGUCGCUUCUCCCUUCUGCGGAGAGUGCGGGAAUGGGAAUCUUAUUUUAUUAUUUAUUUUAUUUUUCGGGGGUUUUUUUGUUUCGAGGGGGGUUUUAGGGAAAAAAGAAAAAGAAAAAAAGGAGAAAAGUGCGUGUGACGUGGACUGUAGGCUCACUACACGUUGACGACAAAAGCAUAUUUCUUUUUUUUAUUAUUUUUNUUUGGAUAAAAGUGUAUGGAAAUUGUCUAAAUUAUGAUUCACUAGUGCAGUAACCCAUGCGAUGCGACGGCCAAAAAAAUAAAAAAAUUAAAAAUAUUUAAUGAGAUAUUUUUUUAUAAAUUUUUAAAUAAUUUAUAUUGAUUAAUUAUAAAUUAUUCAAACGUAUAGGCAAUCUAUAUGUCUGAGUCGACAGUUUAAAAAUAAAUGAAGACAUUACAUGUUUGCUAAAUAUACUUUAUCAUCAUAUUUUAUAUCAAUAUUAAUAAUAAAUUAAUAUAAAUAUCAGUUAAUUUUUUUUUUAUAAAAAAGGUCCUUAAUGAGAAUUUCUAUAAAAACAAAGAGAAGAGAAAAAAUGGCAUAGAUUUGACCGAGCUCGGUCGAAGCAAGAAAGAGGGCACCGGUUUGGUUCAAGCAAAUAAAAAGAAAUUUAGCUCUGUUCAAGCAAAAAAAAAGAACUUGAGCUACUUCAGGGUGGAACUCUUAUUCAAUAAUUAUUGGUUCGGUUCAGAUAAAUUAAAAGAGAAAUUUGGUUCAAAGACAGAAAUAUACAGAGCAAUUUGUUUGGUUCGAUCUAAUGAAGUAAAUUGACCCGGUUCAGCAUUAUUGGUUCGGUUCAGAUAAUUAGAAAAGAAAUCUAGUUCAAAGACGGAAAUAUAUAGAAUAAUUAAUUUGGUCCAAUAAAGCAAGUUGAUCCGGUUCGGUUCAAGCACAAACAGAGAAAAAUUAAAUAAUUAUUUGAAGGACUCGAGCCGGUUCAAGGUGGCACCCAAUAAUCCGGUUUGGUUCAAACAAAGAAAGAGAAAUUGGUGGAGCCCAUAUUUAAUUUAACAAAGAAAGAGAAUGAUGCCAUGUGGCAAAGUUUAAAAGAAAUAAUGUAUAGGUAUAGAGGUAUAGAUAGGUAUAGACUGUAAUUUAAUUAUUUAAUUUUAAUUAAUAUUGAAAAUUUUGAAUGUGCUAUUUAUUUAGUUAACUUAGUUAGCUUAUUUUAUAUAAGCGGCGAAAUUUUGUAACUCAAAUAGUUUAAAUAAAAAAAAGUUUAAAUUUUUUUUUUUGAGAGAUAUGUAAGGAAGUGAAUUCUCAAAAUCCGAGGAUUAGAUUUCGUUUAGAAUCGACUAGUUGUCGAGUGUGUAGGCUUCGGGAAGUCCGAAAGUGAUUAAAAUGCACUAAGUGCAUUUUAGGAAGAGUCCGCGAGAGCAAGUAGUUCGAAACUGCACUUGGUGGAGUUUUGCUCUCGGGGAUCGGUCCCUGGCAGGGAGAGACCGGUCCCCGAGGCUAGUGGUUGCGGGGAUUGCUGAUGCAAUCGGUCCCUGGGUUAGUGGGACCGGUCUCCCCAUGCGUGGAAAUUGGCGAAGGCCAAAAAUUUGGCUAAGUCCCGGAGAGGCAACUCUCGGGAACCGGUCUCCCGGGGACCAGUCCCUCAGGCUGAGACCGGUUCCCGACGCCCGAAAUGCCCAGCGGGGGCUGUUUCAUAAAUUGAAAGUUGAGGGGGGGUUUUCUGCAAAAUGCCCAUAAAAGAGGCUUGGGGGACCACUCCUUUCCCUCUUUCUCUCUCUCUCACUCUCACACGUUCUCUCUUUCUCUCUAGAAACAAAAGGAGAAGAAGAAGAGAAAGAAGAAGAAGAAUGAGAAGAAGAGAAAGAAGAAGAGGAAGACCAAGAAGAAGAAGAAGAUCGUCUUCUUCCUUCUCUCUCUCAAGCUUGAAGAAGCUUUUAGAGGUAAGCUCAAACCCUACAAUGGUGGAUUCUUUGAGCUUGGGUUUUAUGCUUUAGAAAUGGUUCGAAUGAAACCUAUUGGAGUUAAAUAGAUGGUUCUAGCUUGAAUCCAAGGUUUGAACCAUGAAUUUCUCCAUUGUUGCAAACCUAGGGCUCCGAUUUGGGGUUUUGGGAAAGUUAGGGUUUUGAUCUCUUUUGAUGGGUUGUAAACCUAAUUGCUACGUCUCUAAAUGCGUUGGUGAAGACGGUUCGUCAAUCCGUCGAGCAAGUGCGGAGAUAUCGCCGAAACAAGCGCUCAAGUGUUCGUAUUGACCCGAAGAGUCGAGGCGGCGACUGAGGAUCGCGACGUCGAGUUUUCUAGCUUUACGGCACUACAAAAGGUGGGGGUGUCCAUCCCGAAGCAGUUGAACUGCUCCCUAUGUCUAAGUUGUUAAGUCGAUCAAGUUGCAUAUUGUAAUAUCGCAUUAUAGGGUGCUAGAUGGUAAUUGUCAUAUAUUAUUGCAUACUAGUGUUAGCUUGGCUUUAUGGAUAUAGCGUUGAACCUAGUAUGCAUGAGUUGAGCGUGAUAUAGUUUAACCCUAUAUGUGAUGGAUGUUCUUACGAGGAUUAGAAUCUAGUAAAGUGUAAACCAAUGUAUUGGAGAAUUGUAAUAAGAACGAGUGGCAUCUAGUUAACAAUGAACACAAAACGAGUGGCAUCUAGUUAACAUUAAAUAUGAGAACGAGCGGCAUGAGAACCUUAGUGUAGUUCUGAAACACUAUGGGAUUGAGUACUAGAUACUUUGAUUCUAUGAUGAAACCGACCUUAGUUGGUAGGGUGUUCCCAGUUCAUGAGAUCGGAUUGAGCUCACAUAGCUUGUCUGCGCCUGUUGUGGUAGCUCCACACAGGUAGUGUACUCCGGAGAUUGUCACUCAAGGGGGCCUAAUGUAGAUGCCCUUGGACCAUUGUAGCUGUCCGCAGGCGGUCUCGGGGGUAAUCGAGCAGUUAGUCUCCUCCUUUGUGAGACUUACACACGUGAGAUUGAGAGCUUGCCCUCGGGUUAGCCGAGAGAUUGGGUGAUCUAGAGAGUUGCUUUAUGGUUGAGCAUAGUAGGAUGGCCGUUAGCCUUACUAUUAGUUGCAUGCAUUCAUUCUUGGAUUGAGGCAUAGUUAGAUGUUUGCAUACAUAUCUGCUUAAAUAUCGUCAAUGCUUUCAAUUCCAUAUACCUAUCUAUCUAUCUAUUGUCUCUCUAUGCCUGCUUAGACUUAGUGGGGAGAUCGGCGGAGUCGGCGACCGAACUCACUGGAAACUAUUCGUAGUUCUCAUCCAACUUUGUUGCAGGUCCGAGUGCGAGUACUCCCGGCGAGGAUCGCGGUAAGGGCAUAGCGCCCUAAUGCUAGUAGUAGCCUCUUUUCCUUAUGCAUUAGAGUUUCACCUUGUAUAUACAUACUUGAGAGUAGAUGAUGUAUAGGUGUGAGGCAUUUUGGAUGAUUGUAUAAUUACAUUUUGGGAAGAAUGCAAAGAUGUAAGUAAAUGUAUAAAGUUGAAUGGAAUGUAAUAGAAUAGCUAAGUAUCUCUCUUUAUUCACCUGUAUGGUUGUAUUAUUCAUGAUGCUUGCUCUCAUAUUGUUCAGUACUGUUUGUGCUCUCGCUAGUUGUUGUAUGAUUGUGUAUGUAUUCAAGUUAUUUUUCUGGGAACUUGUUGUACACAAUCUGGUUGUUAGCCUUGAGCGGACAGGGAAGGUGCUGUCCGUCCAGUAGCUGUGCGACACGCCCGAACCGGACCAAAUCGGUAGCGGGCUCGGGGCGUGACAAGAUAGGUAGCACGCUAUCCGCUUCGUUUAUUUCAUUUAAAAAUAAACUUAGCUGGAAAUGUGAAUCAACUAGGAUUCGAACUUGGGUCUCGGGUACCACCACCAAGCCCUUUGCCACUUGCUCUAGAGACGGUCGGUAAANCUAAAACAGAUAUAGCAAGUUAAGUACUAAAAUAUGCAAUGAAAAUGCUAAAAGAAGAAUGACUCCAGUACAAGGAAGUGAUAGAACAUUUAAGCCAAUUCCUCACCUUAUUGUCGAGCUUUGCAUCAGCUUCCAAGACAGUUGAAGCACUUGUAUUUUGACUGCUCUCGGCUUUGAAGGACUCAUCCCACAUGCUCAUUUGGUGGUUUGGUUCAUAUAUACCCAUCCUUCUAGAGGUUACAAAUUGAGUUGAUGCAGUUGUCAUACUAUUUGAACUGAAAAGUGAAAAAAAAAAAAAAAAAAAAAAAAAAAAAAAAAACUUAAAAAGUUAGAUCUAAAAGUGAACUAUAAGUCUUUAUUUUUUGUUUCCUGAUGUAAAAUGAAUGGAUAGAUCCUGCAAUAUCCUCAUAGUGCAACUCUUUAUUAUGUAAUUUUGACUUAAAACACUUUUAUUUCUACAUUUUUAUAAUAUCUUUCACUAAGGUAUUUGACCAUUGAAAAACAUGAAAUUUCUAUCGUAAAUUGACCUUUUGUACCUAGGUUAAAGUGUAAAUGGCCAGCCAUUUAAUAAAAUUGGAGGAGGAUGUAGCUAGUGACAAGAAAACCUAAGCACCAUAAAAUUGCAGCAGCAGCAACAGCAAGCGAAAACAAGCACAUAUGAAUUCAAUCUUUGAGUGCUGAGGUGACCAAAAAGGAUCAACAAGCAAAAACACAAAACGAAAACAGCUUUUGAAACAACUUCUCUACUGCAACUAAAAACAAUCGAACAUUUUUGGCGUAAAAAGGCUUAGAAGGUUUGAUGUUGCAUGAAGAUGCUGGGCCCUCAAUGCUAAAAACUACGACUCGAGAUUUCUGCUUCUACAAUAAGUUACUUGAAGUACCUUUUCUAAAAAGCAUUUGCGCAUUUUCCACCAGAUUACUCAAACAGCACUUUUACAAAAGCUCUAAGCUAACCAAAUAAGCCCUCAAAGCCAAAGGUUUGUUAACAAUAUAUAUCAUUCAAUUUGCCAUACAACACUAGUAGCUUUCUGAAAUUGUCCUCCAAAAUCUUAAAUUAACUCGACAAAAGGAAGCCUAUAUCAGAAAAACUACAACCUAGGACUACAUUAUUGCCUAAAACUAAAAUGGAGUCAAGAAAUUGUUUGACCCAUUUAUACAUGAAAAUGCCACCAUGUUUGUUGGUCUCCCGAAAAGUUCAAUCAGCUUCCCCCACUUAAUACACCUAAUGUUCAAUACUCCAAAUAUUUACUAGAGAACGGCACCGAAUUGCACCAACAAGAACAAAAUCAGUUAAGGCUCCGAGUUAGCCGAUGAUGGCUCGAUUUCUUGGCCCCUAGCACGCUUGAGCUUUGGCCCAUCUGUCGUAUUUUCUCCUUGAUCAAAGGAUUCGGCUUCUGCCUUCUUCUUCUUCUUCUCGCCCACAAGCCGAGGGCUCUUGGCUUCUAAAUUGGAACUACUAGGUAUAUCAUUCGUCUCAGCUUGCGCAUUUUCUUGGAUCCUGUUGUUCGUGUCUGAAUGCGAUUGGUCAGAAGAUAAUGUCAAUGGGUCGGCAGAGGUUGAAGGCGGCUUGCCGACGCCGGAUUUGUACUGCUUCUCGAACAUCAUCUGAAGGCACCUUCCUUGCUCUUCAAUUCGGAGUUGCAGAUUCCUUUGAAUCUGAGAUAUAAGGGAAAAAAAAUAUAUGUUCAGACUAUUAAAUAAUAUUCCAUAAUGGGAAAAACUCAAGGUUUGAAUAUAAUUAUAAUGUGAAUCUUCUAACUAAUUUGAUUGUGUACAAUCAAAAGACUAAUUUGAUAGUGGACUUUUAAGGCAUGAAUGUGCAUGUUUCGGUUGAAAGAAAGUUAUUCAUUUCACAGUUUUCUGAACAUACGAAAGAAGUGGCGCAAACUAUAAUAUGUCGAACAAAUUUUUAGAAAUCUCAGAAUAACGUGGCUCGGAGUGAAAUUUGGAGCUCAAGUGCAAGCCCCUGGAAGUUUGUGGACUACUCAUGACUAAACAUGCUUCACAUGGACUUCAUAAACAGCAGGAAACUCCAAUUGGAUUUGACUUCCAACCUAUAUUGCUACUCUUUAACUCAGCACUUCUUCGAAGUCUUAAUAAAAGGUAGGUAUUAGUUAAACAAAUAAAGCAGUAGGUGUAACAGAAAACAGAACAAAAAUUCUACGAAAUGUACCUCCAGCUGUUCAUGAAGUCGUUUCUGAACUUCCAUCUGAAGACGCAGGGCCUCAGUGAGAUCAAAGCUCCUAUUAAAGAAAUGACAGACAAUCCAAGGAGCAAAUUAGAACUUUAUCAGCCAUAACAUGACCAAGAACAUUCAUAUGAUAUAUAGGACAUGAGAAAAAGGUUAAAGAAUGUCUCAGAAGUCAUCAUCCACAAUUUCUAAACCGGCUAUAUACAGCAGCUUAUCUUGCUGGGAAUAGAAUGUCUCAGAAGUCAUUAUUACAAUCCCUCGUAUGUCAUUCACUUUCACUUUUUCAUGUCUGAGUGGCGCUGAUCCUAUUCUCUUGACAUAUUUUGUGAACUACCAAGUGUAGCUGCAAAUGGUACUCUUGAUUUGCCUAACUGUAAGAUCACUUAUUAUCUUGUAUACACAUUCUGACCGCUCAGCUAUCUGACUCCUUUUUCUAUUUUGGCAGAUUAAGAAAUUAUCUAAAAUUUAAAAACUAACGUAUUAUUUUUGAAUAAUGGUAUGCUAUUACAUGGCAUACCACAUCCUUUUUUUUUGGGUGCAAAAUCCACAUUAAUCUGUAUUCAGUUUUGAUCCUUUACAUGGCUACAAGCAACAGGGACAAGAUAUUUUGAAGCAAACUUUUGUAAUAAAAGCAUGAAAAUGUUGCUGAACUUCAAGAUAUGAUAAUUUUUCACAAAAGAAGUAGAGUACCAACUUUAUAUUCGUUACCCCAAGUCCUCUUAAAAGAGGCAAUUUACAAAGAAACCAAAUUGUGAAAUUAGCUAUUAUACGUAUGAAAUUCACUUACGUCUUAAGGUCUAGAGAUGACAACUCCUCUUGAGAAGUACCCUUCUUUUCUGAGGCACCUGCAUUUAUAGUGAGAUAACCAAUUGCAGAUCAAUUUCCUUCACUAUUAAAAUAAUAGCAGUUACAGAACAAUAAAAAAAAGUUUUGAAAAGCAUUUCUGCUGAAGUCAGAGAUAAUUCCUAGAAGCAAGCAUAGAAUGUAACCGCACUGGGACAUCAAAAUGCAUAUGAAAAUGGAAAACAACAUCAAACUUUGUAACUUUAUUAAAUUUACAUCACUAGAUGAAAAAAAAUGAGAAGCCGUGUCAGUACUCCACAAGAUGAACUUCUGUAUUAAGUACAUACAAACCUUCAGAUGACUCUGGCCUAUAUCGAGCUGUUCUGUACUUCUGCAGGAGGGGAAAAAAAAACUAUAUCUAGUGAGAGGGUAUAUUUGCAAAUAUGUCAAAAACAAAUGGCCUCCAAAAUACAUGAUUGUCCAGCAAAAAUUGACAAGAAGCAAACCUGUAAAUGGCUUUUCACAUGAUAUAUGGUCAGGCUGUCCACUUUCAUGAGUUUCAGCACACCUUUAGGAGUAGCUUCUGAAGUAUAAAUAUGUAUAUAUAGAAGUGUUAAGCCAAAAUUAGAGAUCUGAAAAAGACACGUAAGAAGAAGAGAGUUCAAAAUUCAAAUGUAAACUUUAAACCUACUUUCACUGCCGCCAAGCUGAUUAACAGCUUCUACAAAGCUUUCAUGGAGCUCCGGGGUCCACCGCAUGCGUGCCUUCGCUGCAGGAGCACUUGCAGUGGGUGAAGGACUAGCAACAGUGCAGAGCUCCCCGGAAUUAGAUGGAGCUGAUUGCGGAAUUGCAGGUUGCUGCAUUGAUAGAUUUGAUGGUGGACAUACAACCUAAAUAGAAAGCGAUAAAACACUUUCACUUUUUGAUUAGAUAUUUGAGAAAUAGACUUGGACCCAGUUAUGAAUUAAGCCACAAUUAAACCCGAGAAAAAAAAUACCUAAUUCACCAUUCCACAAAAUCUGUCCUGCCCAGCCAAGUUUUUUUUACAGAGCCAGACAUGACCAGAUGUACUAGGUUAGAUCAUAUCUCAAAACCCGAGCCUGAACAAAAUUCUGGGUAGCAUCAAGCCUUCAAUUUCUUUAGUUGGCCCAACCUGGUUCGAGCCACUUUUAGUCUGUUGGGCCAGGCUGCUUAAAAAUAGCCCUAGUAAUCCAGGCCCUGUUAGGUUCAGACCAUACAAUUUUCCGUUGACCCAUGAUCUUGUCCCAGCCAGGCGGGGAUGUAAUUACGUCUAGCUACCAUCAUACAAUAUACUUAGUUGCCUCCGGAAGAGGCCAAUUACCAAAGACUAGUGUUAUUAUGCACCUAGUUGUUGUUUAAUAGUACGAACAACAAUAUAAAGGGCAACACCCCAACUAAAAUAGCAACUUUGAUAAAAUCAUUUACUCUUGGUUGGAAAACUGCAUAGAGAACCAAAAAGAAAAUAAUUAAGAACUUGUAACCAAGAAAGCAAUGGUAAUUAUUCAUCUUUCACAAGUUUUAAGUUUCUAACCUUUUCGAUAAUGAGAGCAUCUGCGUAAAAAAAAAAUUACAUGAAAUGGCUUCAGUUUUGCAACAAUAACAUCAAUGUUGAAACCAACAAACCUUUGGCUGAGGUUCGGAUGCAUUCGCGUCGUAAAUAUCCUUCCAAUCAUCAUUGAUAAAGUCAUUCCACCACUCGUUUUGCUUGAUAAGUUCAUCAGAGGCCAUGAUAGGACUGCUCUGGAUCUGAUUACCGCUAGCAAUGACAUUAUCUGAGUAAUCAAGAAUGCCCUGGACGGAAUCCGGCCGCCAGUUCGAUUCAAGGGGUUCUCCCUGGUAAUUACUUGUCGAAGGGUGAUAUAUUCCCGUGUGAGAUAAAUUAGCUGAACCCAUAAAAUUUCCAGCAUUUGAUGGUUGAGAAAUAAAUGAAGAAACAUUAGGGGAAGGUGCUGAAUAUAAAGGCCCUGAAGCCGAUGAAUAUAAAGGGCCAACAACUGCGGUAUUGUAGUGCGAAGGUGCGCGAUGAGGGGGAAGAGGAUUGCUGCUGCUAAGUUCCCUUUCCAUUGAAACUUGUUGUGAAUCGGGGAGUUUCAGGAAGCUCACUUCCGAAGGAGUAGGAAGAGCAGGCAGGGAUGAUGACAUGGCACCAGAGCCUCCUAUAUCAUAUAACUGGCUCGUUGCCGAUUUCUUCAUUGAGAAAGGGACACCGGCUCCUCUUCCUUUCCAUGCAAAAAUUGAUCUCGAAGUGUCGUUUUUGUGCCACAAAUGGUUUUUAAAAGCACUGUUGCUUUAUUUUUUAGUCACAAUUACAUCAUCAGUCCUGCAUAUAUUAAAGCCGGAAAAAAGGGGCAAAUUAAGAUUUUUUUUGUACUAGAGAGAGAAUUAGCAGAAACUGAAACAAGAUAACCUAACCACCGGCAACAGAGAGGAAAAAGUCGUGAAUGUCAAGCAGACUCAAAAGGUAGAAACUUUAUUGACUAUCCACCGACAAAGUAUAAAAUGGACUAUCUUUUCAUAUGAAAGCGCAUGAAGGAAUCUAACUUAAACUCGUUUAGCUCAACUUUUGGAACAACUAAUCUGCUGGAAAAUUAGAAACUAAUUGGUAAGCAAACAAUAAUAAUGGAACUUCUCACCAUGACAGCAAGCUAAAUGUCCCAAAGCAAAAGCUCCAAAUCGAAGCUUCUACUUUUAGCGGCAGUUGGAAGGGUGUUAAGGGUAGUGUCGUGAAGAAGCCAUUAGGAUUUUGUCAAACAGCUCUACUCAAAAAGCACGUCCACGAAAGCUCCAGCAAGGUCAAAAAGACCACUGCUGGCUUCUUGGUCAGAUCAACAUCUAAAUCUAUAUUAAAAUUAAAACUUAUUAUCAAUAUCCAUAUCUAUAUCUAUGUUCUCUUAAAAUCUUUGGCAUGCUCAUUUUCAAUAAUAUUAAUUGCCAUGUAUUAGAUAACCCUUCUUGAACCUAUUGCGUAGCCUUUCAUGUACGAUUUAAAGUUAAAUAAAUGACAAGCAUUCAUAAAAGAAAGAAAAAAAGGGUUAAAAUCCAUCCAUAGCAACUGUAUAAGCAGAAAUUUUGACCUAGUCCAACAACCAUGUCGCUCAAACAUCCUUAGUCCCUAAAAAUUCCCACCUUUGGUCCCAACAAAGAAAAAUCUAACAACAAAUAACACUUCCCUAAUGAAUCGAUCUCCUUAACGAUGUUAUAUUACAUAAGAACAACAAAAGUCGAACGAAAAAGGAGAUUAUUCCCUAAAAAACGAAGAAAGUAGAAGGAAAAAUGAACCAAUUGGAUUUACUAAAUUACCCAAAAAAGGCACAAAAUUAUCAAAAAAAAAAAACAAGAGUAGAGAUGAGAUUAAAGGAGAGUUUAGCAAUUACCGAUCGUACGAGGAUUGGUAGAGAGAGAGAGAGAGAUGAGGAAGAGGAGAACGAGGGAUCCGAUCGACGAAUUGAGUUAGGUUUAGGGUUUGGCGUGGGCUCGAUUUACGCACCCGCUUUGGUUGCUGUUCAGAUCGAGAUCGCUUCAUAGUUGGCUUUUUUUUGCAUUUAGCCCCUUCCAAAAAAGAAAAUCGUAAAACAACCCUUUAAAUUUAUAAUUGCGAGAAUGUUUCACUUCUUGACAACGCAAAAAGGGCCACAUGUAAUGUUUAACUUAAUUUUACAGGGACUACGUAUUUAUAUCUUACACUCUUGUUGAUCCAAAAAUUUAUAAAAUCGCACUGUAUGAAAAUUUAUAAUUAUAGAAAUAUCUCACUUUUUAGAAAAGGGCCACCUGCAAUGAUUAACUUAAUUUUACAAAGAUCACGUUUGUGUGUGUGUAUCUUACACUUUUUUUGAUCCAAGAAUUUAUAAAAUUGCGAAAAAAAUUAGAACUUAAAAAAAAUGAUAUGGCAAAGUAAUUUACACCACAAAAUACUAGGGUGUAAAAUUUACACUCUAAUGUUCAGUAUGGAUAGCAUUAUUGUUUUUAAGAAAUUAAACAUGGACACCUCGAAGGGGUUGUAUGUCUUACACCUCUUCAUAAAAAUUCAAAUAGUUUUUAGUAUAAAAUAAAAAAAAAUUGAUGUAACAAGUAGAGAAUUAAUGAACUUUGGAUGAAAUUUAUAUAAAAUAUAGGGAUAAUUACCUAUAUACUCCUCAUGCGUUUAAAAAUAUCCGAUUUAUUUCUAUUUUUUUUCUUUUUAAAAUACUCCUCAUAUGUUCCACCGUUAUUACAAAAUAUCACCACAGUUAUCUCCUGUUAAGUUAACUUAAGUUAAACAUGAGUUAAAUAUCUACCACAAUUUAAAAAAAUUAAAAUACUAAUUUUGUCCUUAACUUAAGGACAAAUAAGAAAUGUUGGAGUUAAACGUGAGUUAAAUAUCUACCACAAUUUUAAAAAAUUAAAAUGCUAAUUUUGCCCUUAACUUAAGGGCAAAUAAGAAAUGUUGGUGACAGUAGAGGGGUGUAUUUGAAAAGACCAAAAGUUAAAACACUUUUUGUGCCCAUGACUUUAAGGGCAAAUAAGAAAAGUCGGUGAUGGUAAAAGGGUAUAUUUGAAAGGGCAAAAUAGUAAUUUCACAGAAAUAACAGAGUUCAUUAACAGAUUUUAACUCUAGACGUAUAUUUGAAAUAGAUUGGAACGUAAAAAGGUAUUUUCAAUAUUACCCUUCUAAGAGGGGUAAAUCAGAAAGUCGAAAAUUUUUCAGGGUAUAUAAGCAAUUGUUUCUAAAAUAUAUACCAUAUUUUGAGAUGUACCAGUAAAAUCACUCUUAUUUUUUUAUUUAUCACAUCAAAUAUUUUUUUUACUAUUAAUUUUUUUAGAAUUUUAUAAAUUCUAGAAUGGAGGGUGUAAUAUUUAUACCUGCUUUUAGAAUGUACAACAGUACAAGUAGAAUUUUUCAAUUUUUUAAAUUUAAAAGGCCAAAUGCAAUAAAAGUCCUCAGACUUGGGCUUAAUUUGCUUUUGAUCCGUACGUGGUUUAGGAAAUAAAACUAUGGUUUUACAGUAAUCUAUACACAUAUAUUUAGUUUCAAGUCCAGUUUUAUAAGAUUGUUUUUACAUUUUAAAUAGUUUAUUUAAAAGGAUAUAUUAAAGUGUCUCUCUGGUUAUGAUAUUUUUAUUUUGAAUAUAUGAAUUUUGAAUUCAUAUUUUUAUUUAAUUAUAUUUUUUAUUUUAUUUUUUUUUUCUAAAACUAGUUUUUAUUUGAUUUGAAUCCAAAUACCUUAUUUUAAAUUAUGUUUGGAAUUCUGAAAAUGGUCCAUAGUUAAUAUUUUAUUAUUAUUCAUAGCAGUUGCUCAAUCAAAUUUAACUCGGAUCUGAUUUUUUGUUAUCAUUAGUCGAGAUGAAAAUAUAUAGUAAUACAAUUCAUAAUUUUUUGAUAGUGUAACGGCAAACUUAUAUUUUUUAAAAAAUCAACUAUUUUUCUAUAAUACUUUUUCUAUGUCAUAUAUAUAAAAGAGUAAAUAAAAGUUUUGGAGUAAGAAUAUUUACUCUUUUAUAUACAUGACAUAGAAAAUUUAUAUAAAUAACAAUAAUUUUUAAAUAAACAUUAUAAUCAUAUAAAAGUAAUUAAUUUAUCAUAAUUCAUUAAAUAAUAUUUUCUAAAAUUUUAUUUAUUUUUGUUUUUAUUGAGAGCGUGCAUUGCACGCAAUUUUAGAUCUCCCCCCGUGUCAUAAAAACUUUGUUAACCCAAUAUACUCCGGAUCCGCAUUGGUUCGGAUUUCAGGUUGUAAGAAUAUUCUUUGGGCAAACCCGAAACUCCGGUCCGGUUCACUACGAACAACCGGGAAAAUCGGCCGAACCGAACCGGUUCCUCACCCAUAACAAUGUACGCGCAUUUUUUUUUUUCAAAACUAGCUGAAUGUACGUGUAAGUGCACAUAAUAAUUAUUUUAAUUUAUUUCAAAUUAAUAUUUUACAUCAUAUUUUUUAAAAAAAUUUAUAAUAAAAGUUAUAUUUUAUAAAUUUAUAUAUUAUAUUUUAUUAAAAAAUUUAUAUUUCGUUUGUUAUUAUAAGAAUUUUUAUAUACUUUUAUAUAUAGGAUAGAUAAGUAUGAGAAUUAUUAUUAGAUAAGUUAUUAAAUAAGAUAUAAUAUGGAUACUAUAUAGGUGGUGCCGUUAUUAGGAGAUAAGGUACGCGUAUAAAAUAUGGGCAAGUUAGGUAAAAAAGGUGACAAAUAUUAAUUCGUCAGCAAAAUUUAAUGACUAAGAAUUAAUAUAUUUUAUAAUAAUUUAAAAAUAAAAUAAAAAUUAUAUGACUGUGAUUUAUAUAUAUUUAUAAAAAUUGAAUGAAUGAUAUUAUUAGUAUAUGAUUAGAAUUAUAUUAAUAUGGAGUGACAAUUUGGAAAAUAAAAAAAAUUUAAAACUCGUUUUUUUAUAAGUAGUAUAGAUAUAGAUAAUAGAUAUUGAUAAUCUUACAAAAUUUUCUAAUUGAAUAAAUAAUUUUAUAAAAAAAAAAUUUAGCAAAUCUUUUAAAGAUGCUAAAUGUUUCGUCGCCUUCAUAAAAAUGACGAUGAAAAAAAUACGGUGAACGAAAAAAUCCUAGAAGGGUUAUUUUGUAAAUUAAAAAAUUUUAGAGGAUUAUUUUGUAAAAAAGUCCCACCUUAAACCCUCCCCUUUCGCGAGCAAUCGUCCUCACGUNACUUAAUAUAAAAUAAAAUAAUUAAAUAUUAAUAUAUAAAUGAUAAAACUUAAUAAAAUAAAAUAUAUAUCAAAUUUAAUUAAUUUAUAUUAUAUAAUAAAAUUUAAGUAUAAAUAUAUUAUCAUAAAAAUAAUAUUUAUAUUAAUAUAUUUAUUUAUUAAAUUUGAGCAUUCAUUUAAUUUAUUUGAAAUUAAUUAAAAUAAAGUAUAAAAAAUUAAAAGGCCAGAAAAAAAAAAAAAAGCCCAAAUCUCUUGCUCCGGCUUGUUCUCCCUUUUAGGGAGAACAAGCUUACCGGGUUGUUUCCAGAACAAUCCGUUAAACCGGGAACAACUCGGUUGUUCCAAAAUAUAUUAUGUUUGGAGGGAUAUCCCGCCUUGUUCUGAAAUAUUCCUCCAACCAAACGCAGCCUAAAGACGAUAAAUGUUUCGUCGCCUUCAUAAAAUUGACGAUGAAAAAAUACGGCCAACGAAAAAAUCCUACAUGGCACACAGAGGGUUAAUUUGCCAAAAAUAAAUUUAGAAGGGUUAUUUGUAAAGUAUAAAAUUUUAGAGGAUUAUUUUGUAAAAAAGUCUCACCUUAAACCCUCCCCUUUCGCGAGCAAUCGUCCUCACGUCCCCUCGUUCCCAUGGAAGCAGCGCCGCCGCAGCGCUUGUGCGGAAGCGCUUUUCGGCUCCGCCCUUCUCCUCCUCCUCCUUCGUCGUCGUCGUCGUCGUCGUCGUCGUCUCCGCUCCCUCGUCUCCUUCCUCGGAAGCUCCACUUCCGCUCCAAAAAGCGCUUCUCCGUCCUCGCCGCCGCCGCUUCCGCCGACCGCAGUAAGAUCCCCGAUCGCCUCGUUACACUCGAUUCCGCCAUCUCCAUUAUCUAAUCCAUCGUUCCUGCUGUAUUUAAUGGCGAAUUUAGCUGUCACGCUGCUCGAUUACGGCGCCGGAAACGUUCGCAGCGUGCGAAAUGCGAUCCGGUAUCUAGGGUUCGACAUCAGAGACGUAAGAUCUCAAUAUCCGCUAAAAUUUCACUUUUUUUAACUUUUCUUCCUAGUUUUAAUGCUGCGGCAGAAUAUUUAACUUUUGAUCCAGUCGAUGUGGAUGCUUGAUGUUUUCGAAACAGUAGUUAUAAAUGUUUGAGAAUUGAUUUGAAACUUGAAUAGUGCUAGUUACUAGCUUGCUGAAAUUUCUAGGUUCAAAAACCGGAGGAUAUCCUAAAUGCGGAUCGACUUGUUUUUCCGGGGGUUGGGGCCUUUGCGGCAGCAAUGGAGGUGCUAAACCAGAAUGGGUAUACUUCCUUUCUUUAUGUGCAUAUUGUUUACCUCUCUAAAGUAUCAUCUUUUAUUAUGUGCAUUUGCAUAUUGUUUACCUCUCUAAAGUAUCAUCUUUUAUUAUGUGCAUUUGCAUAUAUUUGCUGCUUGCAAAAGAUACUUCAAUGUUAUCAAUCUGAUAAGUUGGUUAGGCAAAUGGCAAUCUUUUCGGCUCAAGCAGACUUCGGAAAUGAAUUACGGCUCUUGCUUACUGUAACUUUAUGUGUUAUUAUUAUUUUUUUAUUGGACAUUCAGAAUUUGUGAUUUUGACAUAUCAACUUGUUUGCAUAAGUUACAAUGUCUAUCUAUAAUAGCUGUCUUGAGCUUUAUGAUUCAGUGCUCGAUUUCUUACUCUCUUUGUAUUUUCUCAUCUUGAAUAUACAUAUAUUUUCUUUCCAUAAUCUUUACUAAUUUUGAUGUAUGCAUUCAUUUGGUGGUUCUGUUUCAUUAAUUUUUUUGAUUUAUUUCAAUCUGUGAUUAGAACCAUUUCCACUAACAAUAAGACCUUUUGUCUUAAGCACCUACUCCCCCCACAACUCGUUCCUUGUUUAGAUACGGUGCAUUUAUCAUCCUAAUUUGCUAGGUGGCAAUCUGAAUUGGUUACGCUCUUCUUUUUCUCAAGUUACUUACCGUGACUUUGUGUGUAGUUUUUGUUGCAAAAGUGAAAUCAUUCUUGUUGGACUCGGAUUAUCUAAGUUCUGUUAUAACUACUGCAGCAUGGCAGAAGCACUCCGCAUGUAUGUCGAAAAGGAUCGCCCGUUUUUAGGAAUCUGUCUUGGACUUCAAUUGCUGUUUGAGUCUAGCGAGGAGAAUGGUCCAGGUAAUAUUAUUUUUCAUUCCUUGUCAACUUUGUUCAAAUAUGUUGGUUAGGGGUGGAAAAUCAAAAAAGGAAAAACAAAUAGUGAAUGUUGUUUAACUUCAAUUAUCAGCUUGAUGGUCGAACUCUUUUGGGGUAGAUUAGUCAAUAAUUUUACAGUUUUUUUUCAUUACUUCCAAUUUUUUUUUUUUUCAUUAUGUUUUCAACAUCAGUUUGGCUAAUGUCAAUGGUGAAAUUCACUUUCACAAAUUAUGAUAAAAGUUUACUUGUCUCAUGAUUAGCUUUUUUGAUUGGCAAUUGUAUAUUCUCCUGUUUCCAUAAUUUAUUUCGUUGCUUUGAAGUUCAUAUGAUUCAAAAUAUCAUCCAAAGGCUGUUAACACAAAUUUGCUUCACUGAAAUAUGAAAGCUUCCACCAAAACAUACAGAUGCUUUUAAGUUUGCUUUGUUCGGAGUAUUGCGCACCAUCCAGCUUGUUAAUCAUUUGGAAUUUCUUGCUUAGUGCUGUCAUAUCUUUAGGAGGAUAAGAUUGCUUCAUUCUUUUGUUAUGUACAUUUAACUAGAACUUUGCUUGAACUUAUGAAGCUCGUCAGUAAGAAAACCUGUAUUACUGCAUAUUUUGUCCUCCAGUUCCGUCUAUGCUGUGAAUCUGCAAAUCCUACAAAACAAACAUAUCUCAGAUUUAUUAUCUUUCUUUCUUUUGUAACACUAUUUUUACAGUUAUAGCAUAUUCUACACAGUUGAAGGUCUUGGGGUGAUACCUGGUCGGGUUACUCGCUUUGACUCUUCAAAUGGUCUCAUAGUACCUCACAUUGGCUGGAAUGCUGUGCAAAUUACCAAAGAAUCUGGGAUUUUGAAUGGCAUUGAAGGCCACCAUGUCUACUUUGUUCACUCAUAUCAUGCAAUGCCUGUAUGUUCGUCCAGCAACUUCUAUUUUUGUAAUUUAGCCCUAUAAUUUGCUUCCAUGUAGCUUUUGGACCAAAAUCAUUUCUUUAUAUUUGGUUAGUCAGAUGCUAAUAAAGACUGGGUUUCGUCAAUAUGCAACUACGGUGAUAGUUUUAUAUCUUCCAUAUCAAGGGGGAACAUACAUGCUGUCCAAUUUCAUCCAGAAAAAAGUGGAGGUAACCUUCUAUUGCAUCAGUGGCAGAUCAAUUUGAAAAUAAAGCUAUAAGGAACUACGAUAACUAUAAUUAUUGUGUAAUUAUCAUAUGCAGAUAUUUCAUUUAGUUCCAAUACAUUGCAAUGUUGGAUUGAUAAAUCACUAGUAUAUACUAUGAUACGAGGUCCUCGUUUAGUGCUGCUUGCCAUUCAAUGUUUAUUUUAUUUGCUGAUUAAUAUCUUUAUUCUUUGCAUACUUAUAUAUUGAUUUUUUUAUCUCUGCAAAGGAUAUCUUGAGGUGGAUGAUAGCCUUUUCCAUCCUUUUUUAUUUCAGUAUGUCAUUUUCUGUUUCUUUAAUUUAUUUUAGAAGUUAUUACUCUAAUUACAAUGUUUAUUUGGAGUUUUUCAGCUAUUGGGCUUUCGAUACUAAAGAACUUCCUGAAUCCAUCUCAUUCGUCAACAACAAAGGUAGUCCUUAAGUAUCUCAGUUUUGAUGGUGUCCUUUUCUUUUGUCUUUAAAAUCAUUUUGACAAUGAAUUGCUUCUCUUUGCCACAGGCAUCAGCUCAUCCAAAAGCUUCAAAACUGGCGAAGAGAGUAAGGGCAUUGAAAUCUAGAUAAUAUUUCAAUCCCUGUGCAUCACACUAUAAUUUUGGAUCUACUCUUCUCAAUCUCCUUACAUUUGCAGGUAAUAGCAUGCCUUGAUGUGCGAGCAAAUGAUAAAGGGGAUCUUGUAGUGACGAAGGGGGAUCAAUAUGACGUAAGGGAUCAGACGGAUGAGAAUGAGGUACGGGAGAUAGGCUUUUAUGCUUGUAUGUAGUAUAAGGAGCUAAUGAACUGAAUGCACGAACUAUUUAGACUGGCUAUGUAUGUACAAAGGUGUAGAGAUACAUGUCAAAGAGAGCUAAUGAGACAGUUACAAGAAUUUUCAAACUGGCUUCUCAUAGGCUUUAGAAAAUGCCAUUGUUGGGCAGUUCUUAGUUCGUGGGCUGAGGGCAGUUCUUAGUUCGUGGGCUGAGGGUAUCAGUGCUGAAUUUGAUGAAAUGAGGAAGCAAAAAAUAAAAUGAGCUUAAUAUCUUUGAAGAUGAAGAUACAGAAAACAGUGUUAAACAUAGUCGCCUUACAAAAGAUUAAAAUCAAAACCGCUUGUGUUUUAUGUACCAAAGAAAAACCUUGACAUUAGUUUAAAGAAAAAUUAAUUUGUUCCUUUGUUUUUGGUGCACUUUUAGUAUCUAAAUUCUCAACUUGUUGGACUUGUUUAUAUAUUUUUUUUGCCAACAGGUGAGAAACCUCGGCAAACCAGUGGAGCUGGCAAGUCAAUAUUACAAAGACGGUGCUGAUGAGGUACCAUAGUAAAGUCAUAGUAAAUAUGACAUACACUUACAUUCAACGCAAUGUGUAGUAAUGAAAUACCAUUUCAGGUUAGUUUUCUAAACAUAACAGGGUUCCGUGACUUUCCUCUGGGAGACCUGCCAAUGUUACAGGUUUGGAGCUAUUAAUUAAUAUUUCCUAUUCUAAAUUCUGUAAAUCCUUUCUAUAUUGGUGAUGACACCUUGAGGAUUGCUUUAUGAACUAUCUUAUGACUGUGAAAACAAUUAAUCUUAUAUAGGUUUUGCGUUACACAUCUGAAAAUGUCUUUGUACCACUUACGGUUGGAGGUGGCAUUAGAGACUUCACAGAUGCUAAUGGGAGGUUAGAAUUCUAACCCUCCUGUUUAGCUACGUUUUUAUGCUUGCCAAUUCGCCUGCAUGUUCACGAGCAUUUCAAUUCAUUCUUACCAUCUAUGGGCUAAACAAUAUUGACUACUUGAGAUAAUUGUUUUAUUAGUUUUGAAGCUCAAUUAUUACAACUAUCAUGCUUCCUAGGUAUCCUGGUUAAGAGGCUUAUCCUUCUGUAGGUACUAUUCUAGCUUAGAAGUGGCAUCAGAAUAUUUCAGGUCUGGUGCAGAUAAGGUUUCAAUUGGAAGUGAUGCAGUUUAUGCUGCAGAGGAAUAUUUAAAAACAGGGGUAGGCGCGAUAUAUUAUAUUGCCUUUACAUAGUUGAUGUAAGAUUUUCCAAUUUGUAACUUAUCUUUUUGUUCCUUAGGUAAAGACUGGAAAGACCAGUUUGGAGCAGAUCUCUAGAGUCUAUGGGAACCAGGUCCGUGCUUUUUUUCUGUGUAUAUUUUACUUAUAAGGAGGGUUCAAAUGUAACAUGGUGGUUUCUUUUUAUUUUAGUUGACUUGCCUUGUUCUAGCAGAAAGUAGCAUCAUCUACUAUUUGAAAACUAGAUAUUAGAAGCUUGUACAUUUUGAUGAACUAAUUUCAGUCAACACCUUGGCAUGUGCUCUUCUAAACACAUAGGCUUUAGACUUUUUAUCGACGAAAGAAGAAUCAACUUGCUUGUUCUACUUUAAAUUGAUAACUAGUUGUUUCUAUAUAAUAAUAAUAAUGAACCCUCUAUUUUGUAGGCAGUAGUUGUGAGUAUUGAUCCUCGAAGAGUGUAUGUUAAAAGUCCUAAUGAUAUCAAAUUUAAGGCUGUGAAAGUGACGAAGCCAGGUACUUUUUCAAUUUUGAUUGUUAUAAAGUUCACCCUUACUGUCUCAUUUCAUCGUUCAAUCUUUAUUCGUUCGAGCUUUGAAUGUAUCCUCCUUACUCUUGUGCUGGUUUUAGGUCCGCUUGGUGAAGAAUAUGCGUGGUACCAAUGCACAGUAAGCACUUCAUUUCUAAUUGGCCAUUAUACAUUGAACUUGACAUGUAUUUCGAGUAACCUUACCUGAGUUUAUUUGUAAAAUUUGCCUCUAAGUCAUGACUAUCGUGUGUAUUACAACCUUUUAUACAAUGAAGAUAUAUCUUUACAGAUAUUUUCCUUUCCUUGUCAAGGUAAAUGGUGGACGUGAGGGUCGGCCUAUAGGAGCUUAUGAGCUUGCAAAAGCUGUUGAAGAGCUGGGAGCUGGAGAGAUUCUACUUAAUUGCAUUGAUUGUGAUGGUAUGACUGCAGAUACCUAUAACAGCUUAAUAUUAUUGUCAAUUGCUCCUGUGCCAUAUCUUUUUUUUUUUUCUUUAUUUUGCCUCUAAUGGUAAUUAAUCUCUCCUUCCCUUUCGCUAAAUCAAAAUAUUUUCUUUUGCUCUUUGUAUCUUGUAAUCUUUAGUUGACUUACAGGAAUUUGAUGUGUCAUGUAAGUUUUUCGUGCAUCAAGGAUUAGUCUUGUGGUUUAGUAUGUCUGAAAUUUAUAAAUAUAGCUAAGAUCAUGUUCCACGUCUGCAAGCUGAAGCAUGGACAUGCCAUGCUCUUUUAUGUGAAUAUUGUUUAAAAUAGAACGAUAGUAUUACGGUUUGAAGUAUGUAUACUUUUGCAGGUCAGGGACAAGGAUUCGACAUAGACUUAAUUAAACUGGUAUCAGACGCUGUAACAAUCCCUGUAAUCGCAAGUAGUGGAGCUGGUGUUGUAGAACAUUUCUCCGAAGUCUUCCAGAAAACGAGUGCUUCAGCAGCUCUUGCUGCAGGCAUUUUCCAUCGCAAGGAGGUACCUAUAUAAAAUUCACUUACGCUUUUAUCCAGAAAUGUUUCUUAGCAGUCCCUGCAAUUCAGUUUUUUUUUGUCUUACAAUCUUAAGUGAGCUUAGCCAUCACCGAUAUGGCAGAUUUAAGGGCCUGUUUGAAGCAUGAACAUCUUCUUCAGCAAUCAGCAUCUCUCUUAUAUUUACUCAGUAGGCAUAUGAUGAAAAGAUAUCUAUAAACUGCAUAUUGUAUAAAUCACCUUGUAGCUAGGUGGAAUGCACUAUUCUGAUAAAUCAUGAUCAUUAGGAGUUUGCAAUGGAACAUGCUUGUUGGGCGGACUUAUACACUGUAAACUAAGUCGAAUAGGCGAUGAUGCCCUUCCCAAGGAGAUGCGGGAUCUUUCCAAUUUCUUCUCUCCUUGCUUCCUGUUUUAAGCAAUCACAAAAAGAUAAAUCCUCAUGCAACUCGGGAUAAUUUAUCCCGAGAUCCAUACAGUGAUAGAACUCUUGGGCCUGUAUUAUCACGGUUGUGGUUACAAGAAAAUUAUUUGAACCGAUAAUGUUCUUUGCUAUAAAAAAUCGACAUUUUGCCAUGUGCCCAUAUUCUUAUAGUUUUUUCUUUUAAAAAUGUCAUUGUAACUUUGAUCAGACUCGGAUAAUAAUCUGCCAACUACUUCGUAGCGUAGAGAAUUGGCUUUCAUCAAUUUAUAUAUAUGCGACUUUGGUCAAAACUAGGUGCUAUUAGCUUGUGUGAUCUCUCAUGUGCCCUACAAACAGGACAUGCUAAAUCAUCCAUGUAACUUAAUCAUUCAACUUGUGUAGCUUAAACUUUGACUCUGUUUGGUUUUGUGUAUCUAGAUUCAAUUAAACUUAUCAUACUGACAGUCUUGUCGAAAAAAAAGGGAGAAGAAAGCAUCAUUCUGACUUCCAUUGUGAUGAUCCAGGUUCCGAUUCUAUCCGUGAAAGACCAUCUUCUGCGGGAAGGUAUUGAGGUGAGGAUGUAAUUCAUCCACGGAGAAAAAAUUCGCGCCCGUCGAAACAAUCACUAGCAGGAUUCUUGCCAUGCUAUUAUUCCCAUCUCAUAAGGCAAUGUUGUGUGAUCUUUUUAGUUGCCCGGCCAUUUGUUUGUUGGUGGACCUUCUUAGUCAUCUUGAAGUUGUCACUCAUCACUAUUAUUGUUGCCUUGCUAUUUAUUUAUUGAUGGACCGAACAUUUUUAGUUAGCUCAACCUAUAUAAGCUGUUUGCAACAGUACUAUUUAAUUCCUUGAGAUGAAACCUGAUUCUAAUCUCUUCUUCUUCCACCUCUCUCUCUCUCUCCAUCCGGAAAGUCUGUGUAGAUAAAAUUUGAAGAACUCAAAGUGAGGUCUUUUCAACUAAACAUUUAUGUGAUUCAUCAUUUCCAUUGCUAAACAAGCUUGUAACAAUUGAUGUUGUAUCAGCAACAUACUAAACAUCAAAACGGGAAACAAAAUCAAAUCAGAUCAAAUCAAUCUCCCCUGCCUCUUCUUGAUCAUAUCGAGAAGAGCCCCUCGCCCCGGGAAAGGAUUAUUACACGACAAAUUCCCAUUACCAUUCCCUAGUAAACUCUCUCUCUUCUUCUCCUUCACAAAACCACCAUUACUACUGCUGCUGCUGCUACUACUACUCUCAUUCUCUGCUUCUUCUGCUACUACUCCCACCUCUCUCCUCACCGUCUCCAUUUGCUUCUCUCUCUUCGCCCUCCUCCUCUCCCUCCUCUCCUCUCUCUUCUCCCUCACCAUCGGCACAGCCACCCCCUCCUCCUCCUCCUCCGCCUCCAAAAUCCUACCUUUUGCUCCGCCCAAUCCCCUUCGGGCUCGGGGGAUCCGCCCCCCGAAGGAGGUGCCGAGGAGCUGGAAAUCGACGCGCGCCCACCCCUCCCUGUCGUCGUAGUCCCACCCGAAGCGCUCGGCGACGUCGCGGAGCUCUGCGACGACGCCGCCGCCGGGGCCGGAGGGGGAAAAGGAGGAGGCUCCGAGGGCGUCGCCGGAGAGGAGGCGCGCGGCGUGCUCCCACUCGAGGCGGUCGCGGUAGACGGGGUCGGCGAGGACCUGGUCGGCGAGGCGGGCCCAGGGCUCGGAGUCGCGGGCGCGGAGGGUGGAGGCGACCCAGCGGAGGUAGGAAGAGGGGAGCGAGCCGAGGCGCCGCCCCCUGUGGCGCCCGAAGUCGACGACGCGGUCGCGCGCGGGAGGGAGGGAGCCCUCGGAAGAGGAGGAGGAGGAGAGGGCACGAGCGGGGCGGAGGAGGUGGGAGAAGGGGAGGUGGAGGUGGAGGAGAUGCAUUGGUGUCUUGGUGAGGACGACGAGGAGGAGGAGGAAAAGGGGGAAUUGGGAUAAUCAUAAACUCCCAUCUCAAUCACUUCUUGCUUUUAUUAUAUAUAUAAAAUAUAAUAAUAAUAUAUAAUAUGUAUUAUAAUAAAUCUAAAAUUUAAAAGUUUUUAUAUUUUUUAAAAAUAUUUAAAUAUUUAAAUUUUCAGUUAAUUAUCAUAAAGAUCGAAAGUGUGCACCAAAAGAAAAAAAUUUUCUAACUUUUUAAAAUUUUUGAUUUUACUAUGUAAUUGUUUAAUUUGUUUGAUUUGACUCGGUUAAUGAUAUUUUAAUUUUAAAUUUUAAAUGUGUUAUUUAUCUCUCUCGUUUUUGCUAAUAUACUUCGUAUAAUUCUCGUUAACUAUAAAUUUAUUAAGAUUGGUAAUUAGUUUAAAUUUUAAAAUCAAAAUAUCAUCGACUGUCUUAAAUCAAAUAAAUUAAAAGAUUGUAUGGUAAAAUUAAAAUUUUAAAAGGUUGCAUAUCAGAUUCAAAAUAGCCUAUAGUUCAUAUAAGUCUUGUACAUUUUUAAUGGUUAAUUGUAACUAAAGAAACUUUACACCAAAAGAAAUUUUAAAAAAUAAUUUUAUUUAUAAAUUUUUGUAAAUUAAUAAAUUAUAUCUUUUUAUACUUAGGAAAGUGUUAAGGGAGUGUUUGGAUCCAUGUAAAAUUAGUUCGAAAAUUUUUUUUCAGUUGAAAAUUAAUUUUCUUUUGUUUGGUUCUCUUUAAAAAAAUAUUUUCGAAAAACUUUUUUUACGAAUACGCAGAAAAAUCGCGUUUUCGUUUUCCGCUCCGUCUGAGUGGAAAACGAAAAGCUACGAGGAAAAAGUCGCGGCUCACAGGCGCGGCUCACAUCCUUUUGCACGCGGUGCACACCCUAUAUAUUUAUAAAUAAAAUUAUAUAUAUAUAUAUAUAUAAUUUUAUUUAUAAAUAUAUAAUAAUUUAUUUUAUAAUAUUAAAUACACAUUAUUAUAUAUUAUAUUACAUAUUUAUUAUAUAAUAUAUAAAUUAUAAUAAUUAAAUAUAUUAUGAUAAUUAUAAUAUACUAAUAAUAUAUAAUAUAUAUAAUUAGAGAAAAUAUAUAUAAUAAUUAUAAUAUACUAAUAAUAUAUAUAAUAAAAAAUAUAUUAAAUAGUUUUUCAUCUACUAAUUUUUUCUUUCAACCAAACAAAUGUCAUGAAAAAUUGCUUUUCUUUUCCUACAAACCGAAUACAAACGACGUAAAGCUUUUUUCCACCAAAAUUUUUUUUUUCAUAAUUUUACGUGGAACCAAACACACCCUAACAAUCCCAGAGUUUACAAAGCCCUUUGGAUUUUAGUAUUAAAGGAAAAAAAAAAUUAAUGCUACCCAAACACUAUAAUAUAGGUGUAAACAUUACAUACUAACAUUCUUGUAAUCCUUAUUAACUCACUUAUCUUAUCAAAGUUUUAUCUGAAUAAACUUCAAUUUACUGCUACUUUUAUUUUGCCAUUCCGUAGUACCAAAACUUGCACAUAACUAUUCAGGAUGUAAAAUAUAUAUCCCUAUAUAAGGACUUUACUUUUGAAUAAAAUUAAGGUUAAAAAAAUAUAUUACUAACCUAAACUAUAAGCCAAUUUCAAUUGACUAUCCAACUUUUAAAAAUUUGAAUUUAUUAUUCAUUUUUUUUUAAUUUAUUCGAUUUAAGUCAGCUGAUGAUACUUUAACUUCAAAUUUUUAAUUAAUUUUUAACUUUAAUCAAUUUAUAACAGCAAGAAUUGCAUGACGUGUACUAAUUAAAUAUAUAAAGAAAAAUGAUGCAUUCAAAUUUUGAAGUCAAAGUAUCGUUGACUGACUCAAAUUAAACAAAUUGAAAUAUUGAAUAGUAAAAUUAAAAUUUUAAAAGAUUAGAUAGUCAUCAAAUUUUGAGGGCUAAGUUGUUGGAAUUGAAAUUGGGGAAAAUAAAAAAAAAAUUAUAAUGAAUUUUAACAAAUUUAAUCUAUAAUUAACUUAAAAUGAUGUAUAAUUCAGAUAAAUUCUAUAUAUUUUUAUUUAAAAUAAAAAUAAAAUAAAAUAUGUAAGUUAAAAUUUAAAUACGAAGAAUGAAAAUAAAAUCAAAGAUCAAAAUUUGAGGGAUAAAUUGUUGGAAUUAAAAUUGGGAAAAUAAAAAAAAAAUUAUAAUGAAUUUUAACAAAUUUAAUCUAUAAUUAACUUAAAAUGAUGUAUAAUUCAGAUAAAUUCUAUAUAUUUUUAUUUAAAAUAAAAAUAAAAUAAAAUAUGUAAGUUAAAAUUUAAAUACGAAGAAUGAAAAUAAAAUCAAAGAUCAAAAUUUGAGGGAUAAAUUGUUGGAAUUAAAAUUGGGAAAAUAAAAAAAAAAUUAUAAUGAAUUUUAACAAACUUGAUCUAUAAUUAACCCUAGCUAGUACUCUAUAGAAGGACCCGUUUUAGGGUUUAGGGUUUUAACCCUCAUCCGACGGCUCCGAUCUCAAGCUCCAAAAGUCAAAAAUACCCCUCAGUUUAAGCGACCACCGCAGCCGCUGGCGAGGGCAUUUCAGUCAUUUAACACCGACUAAACCCUACUCACCGUUCUAUAAAUAAGCACGAAAACCCCUCCCCGAACCAACCUCGGCGUCGGAGUCCCAAAUCGCCGUCGCCAUGUCGAAGCGAGGUAGGGUUUCCCUCCUCUCAUCUAGGGUUUUGGCUUACGGUGUCAUUGUUUCCAUGAUAUCGAGACGCUAAUGGCGAUUCCCCUUUCUCCAAUUCUACGCUUCAUGUUCUUCUUCUUAUCUACUUUCGCCUAUACUCGAUCUUGAAGCUUUUGCUUCUGUUUCUUUCGAUUUUUUUUUUUUUUUUUGGUUUUAUUUGACUCUUGUGAGAGAUGCGAGUUCGAAAUCAUCAAUUUGUAAACAAAAGAUCUCCUUUUUGCGGAGAACUUGAAUCUAUUUGAGCUUACAUUGCAAAAUACGAUCUUUAUGACGUAAUUUUUCCUAGAAAGGUGAGCACUCGGUAUCGCUUUUGCCACUAAUUGCAUUGCUUUUGGCUAAAAUUUAGGGCGCGGAGGUUCGGCCGGAAACAAGUUCCGGAUGUCGCUGGGUCUCCCGGUGGCGGCGACCGUAAACUGCGCCGAUAACACCGGAGCCAAGAAUCUCUACAUUAUAUCGGUGAAGGGCAUUAAGGGUCGGCUUAAUCGCCUCCCCUCGGCCUGCGUCGGCGACAUGGUCAUGGCCACCGUGAAGAAGGGCAAGCCCGAUCUCCGCAAGAAGGUCAUGCCCGCCGUCAUCGUGAGGCAGCGCAAGCCGUGGCGCCGAAAGGAUGGCGUUUACAUGUACUUUGAAGGUAACAUUCUUCUGCCCUAGUUGUCCCUGUCCAUUUUUGAUUUGUUCUUUAAUCGAUCAAUCACGUGAAAGAACAAAUCUUGUGUUGGAGCUGUUUGCAUUAGAUCUUCCAAUUUGCUUUUUUUCUCGUAAUACUAAUUCCUGAUGAGAGUAGAGUAUAUAAUUGUCGGUUUGUGCUAUUAUAUAUAUCAGAUAUACAUGGUAUAGAUUUUUCAGCUUCGAUCUCGCUGUAAUUGCUAUGGCUUCCUGAUGGUAGUGUCGAAGAUGAUUUUGUACUGAAGAAAUUUUCUUGGUAUGCGGAUGUAUAAAAUUUUUAUUCCUCGUAGAUGAAGUGAUUACUGAGUUUUUCGUGCAUGCCAUGGCCAUGAAAUCUGCACUUAUUCUUAUGCGCUUUUUAGUCUUUUUCUUAAUUUCAAUCUGCAGUGUUACUUAUCAAUUUGUUUCCUUAUCAAUGCCGAACAGGUGUGAUAACGAUAGCAAAUAGUUUCUCUCUCCCUCCCUCUCUGUUGUUGAAUAAAAAAUACCCUCCUUGAUAGCUUGCAUUUUUUUUCCUUCGGAAAGAAGCUUUCCUGAGACAAACAUAUACGUGCUCAUUGAUGUUUUACUUUUCCAGUUGCUUUUCUUUUUAAUAUAUCUCUUGUUCUAGUUGCGGAAUGUACAUAAAUAUUCUUUAACUUUUUGAUAUAAUGGAGUUUUUCAUAAUUUAAUCCCUUUUCUCUUGAUUGCUCCUAUUUUGUUGCUCUUAUGACAACGGGACUUGAUAUGCUUUGUUUUAAUUAUUCUGCAUUUCUAUCUAUUGUACAUAAAGUUUUCUCCCCUUUUCUUGCAGAGAUAUUUUUCGUAUUUUUUGAGUCAGAUUUCAGUUUUAUCUUUGAGGUGACAGGAGAAUUUUUCUGGGUGAAAAUACUCCCAACUUUCUGGAGCAAACCCUCGAUGUUUGCAUAUUCCUAAGUAAAUGUCACAAAGUAAGCCUUUGGAUGUUGAUGGCUCUUCUUGUAAAGACUAUCUUUUCAUGGAGUUCCUCCAUUUGAAGGCGGUCUCAUAUUCCAUCGCCCUGAGGAGCGGCAUCGCUGCAAUUACCUUUUGGGACUGGCCAUGAGACAAACAUGUACAUGUUCUUUGAUAAAUUAGCAUCUAAGCUCUUUUGCUGCUGAUGUGUUUUUGUGGUUAGUCUGAGACAAGCAAAUUCAUAUGUUUCCUAACUUCCGAUUUAUCAAUCACAGCUUUUUUGUUAUUUAGUAAAUGUUUUUUUUGUCAUCUUUGUGUACAGUAGACAUGGUCUUUAUUGAGGACAUGUAGCUUGCAACUCGUGUGAUCUUUCGUGCCAUGCUUUUUAUCAUGUUUUUUUUUUUUUUCAGAAGUCAUUUCCUUCUCUACGCUCUCUUACUUCAUCGAACCAGUAUUUUGUGGAUUAUUUGUUCAGUGAUGGGAGAAUUUUUCUGGGUGAAACUUCUCCAGCUUGCUGGAGCAAACCAUCUAUGUUUGCAUAUUCCUGAGUAAACAUCACAAAGUAAGCUUUUGCAUGUUGUAGGCUCUUCUUGGAAAGAUCUAUCUUUUCAAGUAGUUCCUCCAUCCGAAAGUGGUCUCAUAUUCCAUUGCCUUGAGUAGUGGCAUCGCUACAUUUACCUUUUAGGAAUGGCCAUGGGACAAACAUGUGUUUUAAGAUAUUUUCAGUUAUAACAUAUUCAUGUUUUUUCAACCUUGAACUACCAUUUUUUCUUGUUCUGUAUUGUGGAUUCAAUCUGUGUUUUUUUUGGUGGGAAAAACUGUUACUAAUCACUAAUCAGAUGUAAUAAAUAAUCCUACCUCAUCUGGUUUCAUUCUAGUUGGAUUUUUAUUUGCUGAAUUUGACUGUUUUACUGACGGGAGGAUUUUUCUGGGUGAAAAUUCUCCAACUUGGUGGAGCAAACAAUCCAUGUUUGCAUAUUCCUAAGUAAACGUCACAAAGUAAGCUUUUGGAUGUUGAUGGCUCUUCUUGGGAAGAUCUAUCUUUGCAAGGAGUUCCUCCAUCUGAAAGUUGUCUCAUAUUCCAUCGCCUUGAGGAGCGGCGUUGCUGCAAUUACCUUUUAGGACUGGCCAUGAGACAAACAUAUGCAUCUUCCUCUGUAUUUUUUUGUGUUACCCACUUCAAUAUUUGUGGUCAGUAAUGGCUGCUACAUAUAC